rnacentral:lncRNA from 1 species
GUAGUAUGGGAGGUCGAGCACGUAGAGGAGGAAGUAGGCCCAGACCACGCCGGAGAUGCCGCCGAAGAAGAAGCCUCCGGUGAACUUGGCCCAGCCGUCGGCGGUCUGCAGCUUGUCGGCCUCCUUCUUGCGGCCGGUGAGCGUGAGCGUGGGCGCCGUGGACGGGUCGCCCUCGUUGAAGGAGGCGACGCCGUACAUGGUGAGGCAGACGCUGAGGAUGGUGACGAGCCCGGCGGCGCCCAGGGCGCCCGCCUGGCCGUGCACGGGCGUGUUGCGGAGCGGGCCGGUGAGGGCGAAGGGGCCCACGAGGAGGUAGCCGUGCGCAAGCCCGACCUCGAUGCCGCGGAGCAGCGGGCUCACGGCGGUGCGGUAGGCCGGGAGGUUGGAGAGGUACCAGGCGAUGAGCGGGCUGGAGGUGAUGGGCGUCUCCAGGCUGCCGAUGAAGGGGUCGCCGUUGAUGGGCUGCACCACCUGGUACGUUGUCUGCUCAAGAACAACAGACAGUUUCUAUCAUCAGAGCCAAAGAAUUUUGUUUGAUCAUACAAAGAUAUAUUAUUGAAUUGCUAAUGUUCAGAGCAUCAAAUUGUAUAUCCAAUUUCCAGUCCUGUGAGAUAGAUCAAAAUGAAUCACACAAGAUGACUGAACUGAAAUCAAGAUUCUAGCAGCAGCACACAUGCAAAGAACUGAUCGAUUUGGAAGCAUUUUGAAUGAAAUUGAUAAUUCAUGUUGCCUAUAGCCAAGAGCCAAAUCGAUCAAAACUAUAAAAAAGAUGCAUCACUAUUUCGUUGCUCAGUAGAUCCACUGACCUUCUCAGGCUGGAUGGCCUUCACGGUGAAGCGGGGCCGCCUGGUCAGCGCAGCGCCUGAAAGGCCCCUGGGCCUCGAGUGCACCAAGCCGCUCUUCAUCACCUGGCUCGCCAUGGGAGCGUACGCGGUAGCCAUCUCGACCUCUGCCUGUCUCUCACGAACAGGGCUCUUCCUUCCUGCAAAAUGGUAGAAGAGGUCUCCUUGUAUCGGCCCAAUUAAAGUUUGUGAUCUUUAGAUCCUGCAGGGGGUGUGUGAGAAGAUCUGUGGCGUGUUUGGAUGGAUGGGGCCCUGCAGCUGAGAUAUGGCUCAGAGCUGUGUGGCGCUCAUUGGGUGAAAGGAGUGAGCAACCCUAUCCCUUAUCCGAAUGCGUGGAGAUCUCCUCCCUCCACUGGACGCCUAGCUGGCGCCCCCAGCUUGCUGCCACGUGGAAACAGAAUCUGCUGUGCUUGUGACUUGGACUUCGUUUGGAUCGAUACUGAAGCAAUAUUUAUAUCUGCAGAAAGCAGAGCUGUUUGCGUUUUGGAAUCAAACUUCAACAAUACCAGCUCCCAAUAACCAAGAUCCUUCCUGUACAAUAUAACAAAUAUAUUUUGGGACUUUGUCAAUUCGACCUCAGGUUAGCAUAGUACUGCACAAACAAAAUUCAUAUAGAAGGAAACUCUUCCACCAGACUAUAUAUUGCCUGCGGUGACAAACUGCUUCAGAUGAAAAGAACUAUGCAAUCAAGUAAUGGCUCAGACCAGUGUUCAAUAAAUUUCCUCUUACAAAAGAAUCACUCACAUCGAGGCAUCAAGGCAUAAAAGAAUCAACAAAUGCCCUGUGAAUGGUUUACUACUCUCCAGCAGUUCAUGCUCCAGCAAAACUCAAGGGCCUGGGAGGUCGUUCCCAGUCCCCCAGAUGCUAUCUGACAUCGUACUGUAGGCGCUUGCUUUUCUGAAGACAGUCGUGGUAGCGGUAGAUGAGUCUCAGCAUGCAAUCCCUCAUGCAGGUGACAUCGAAGGAUUCAAUGAACCUCAGGUCUGACAAGCGGGAUUUGCCAGCAGCAUAGCGAUGGUACUCUUCAAAGACAGAUGAUAGGCACCAAUUCUGCAGCUUCCUGAAGCUGCCCACCAGACAUCCAGUGCGGUGCUGGAGUCAUGACAGAGAAAUCAAAUUCAAAGUCAGGACCAAAAAAUCAAGAUUUGAGGCAAUGAGAAGAGAAAAUAAAAGAACCAUCAAUUUAGAAUAAAGAAAUGCAUUUAUUGGUACCUUUCCUCUUUUGCAGUGGAUUAAAACUGGGUGAUUCCUAACAUCUGAGAACCAUAAAAGAGAACGAGUUACUGAUGGGUCAAAAUAGUUCCAUAUGAUCAUUUAACAUUAUUGGUCGACAGCAAAGACAAAUUGGAAAAGAUGGAGCCUAAUUCAGUACCAAGCAAGACCCUAAGAGCCCCCACGAUGGCAUCCACAGGUAUGGACACGUAUGGGUCCUGCAGAUGCAAACAUUUAAAUGUGCUGAACUUGCUGAUAUUGGAAUUCAAAAGAUCAGCAGACAACAAUAGUUGCUUCAAAUGAAAUUAACAGGAAUUAACAAUACAUAGGUCCCAAGUCACAGAUUCGUAAGGUGUAACAACAAGAAUCAAAUAGAAGUCAGACACUGUGUACGCACAAGAAACUGCAUGUCUGUUUUCAGUAAUGCAGUAUCUGAAAGUGUACAAUACCAGAAGAAACAAACUGAUCCUUGACAAGGAAACUGUAUCCAUCUGUACCUGCAACAACUUAUUCAUAACUGUGGAUAAAGGGAGACAGAAUUUUGUAGUAGUCCUGCACUUGGAUACCAUAAUAGGUAAUUUACCAUCCACAUUUGCUUCCAAAUAGGCAAACACCAGAUUAAUGAGCACCUCAAAAACCAGCACAGCGGCAUUCAAACAAUAAAAUUAACAUUCAAUGUAUCAGAAUUUGGAAAUUUAUCUGUUGAUUAUCCACACCACUGCAUCUUUGACAAUUGAUGUUAAGAAUGUCCAAUGGUCUACUUUCCUAAAUUUUAUUAAGGCAAAGUAUUAAAAAUAAGGGAGGCAUCUGAUGCCUGCUCAACUGACAACAAUAAAUACCCUUGCGAAGGUACAUGGAUUCCUUUUACACAGUAAAGAAAAGCUAACUAUAACCACCAUUCAAUGUUCUAAAGCAGUAUACCUUUGGAUCCAUAGAUCUAUCUUAAGAACUACAAAGCAUAUAAUAUAAGUGUACCGAUGUAUUUAUCUUCAAGACUGCAUACCUUUUGCAGUUGAAAUGCAAGUAUAAGCACUAAUUAUCAUUACCUCCAAGUUUGCGCUCUAAUUGGACAAUCCAACUUAAAACUAUCCUAUGACUGGAGGAGUGACUACCAAAGCUUCACAUAAUCCCAUCAGAUUUACCAAAGCAAAAAACAAUAGAAAAAACAUAUAGCUGUGCUGAGUUUUCCUUUCCCCCCAAAGAGCACAUUGAAUUCCACUACUGCCAGAGCGCAAUCGAGGUAAUCAAUCAAUUAAGUACUACGAACAACAUAUCAAAUAAACACGCAAUCUCAUAAGAAUCUAAGGGGAAAACGAGACAUAUAAUACACAAGGGAAGAAAAUAGGAAAUCAGACCCACCUUGGUGCCUUCAAUCCCGAACUGGAAGAGGCGGAUCCCCUCGGCCUUGAGGAACGCGGCGUUGGGCUCCGGGUACGGCUCCGGGCACAGGUACCUGCAGCACCGCCGCGUCAGCCACGGAGAUACGACGGCCCAUAUCGCCACCAAACACGACGCAGGAGGGAACCAAACGAACCGAUCGCAUCCAAUCCAAUAAUUCCAAUCUAACAAUUUCGAUUCGAGGUGGGGGGAUUUCGGCGGCUCACACGACGGAUCGGAGGCCGAGCCCCCGGAUGAAGCCGAAGCUGGCGGCGUCGGGGAAGCCCGAGCGGUAGACCCCCGCGUCCACCAUCCCGAAGUUGGCCGGCGGCGCCACCAGGCCCGUCCCCGCCCCCUCCUCGUCGACCUGCUCCAGGAUCAUGCCUGCCUCCUGGCCCGGCCCCGGCCGGGGCCCCGCCGAUCCGAGGGCGGGUUCGGCGGCGGCGCCGGAGAUCGCGGGGGACGGGAGCGCGCGAAGGGCGGGCGGCUAAGGGCUAGGGCUGGCUCGGUCUCCGCGAGGUGAGGGACGGAUCGCAACGGUCGGCUCGGUCGCCGUGGGGACGGACGGGCGGGGGCGGGGGUGGGAAUGGAAGGGCCCGUGGGCGAUGGGCUGGGCUGACCCGCCGCCUGCCUCUCGUCACGGCACGGGGGACUGGGGUGGGGUGGGGACGUGGGGUGGGGCGCGCGGCCGCACGGGCCCUUCUUGUACGGGUGGCCGGGUGGGCGGGUCAGUGGGAAAAGGUGACGCCUGAGUCCUGACGCGGGAGGAAGGCUCCGACACGGUGCGGCGGGGCUCGGUGGGUGGUGGGGUGGUGUCGUCGUCUCGUUGGGAGGAAGGGGAUGCGGUUUCCAGAACCCAGAGAGGGGUUUGGUUUGGUGAGGCGACGCCUGUAGUUUCGUACGGGCAAUGCAAUCGACGAGCGGGGGAUGUUUGUAAAGGAUCGCAUCCGAUGUUCGGAUGUUAAUGAGAAGGAUUAAAAUAUAAAUUAAUUAUAAAAUUAACUGUACAAAUGGAAUCUAAUUCGUUAAUUAUAAAACUAAUUGUACAAAUGGAAUCUAAUUCGCGAGACGAAUCUAUUAAGGCUAAUUAAUCCAUCAUUAGCAAAUAAUUAUUGUAGCAUCACAUUAUCAAAUCAUGAACUAAUUAGGUUUAAUAGAUUCAUCUCGCAAAUUAGACUCUAUCUAUGCAAUUAAUUUGUAAUUAGACUGUUUAAUACUUUAAUUAGUAUCAAACAUCCGAUGUGACAUGUGAGGCAGGGUAUCCAAAUAAACUAGGGGCCUGUUUGGAUACAGGCUCAUAAAGUUUAGUACCUGUCACAUCGGAUGUUUAGAUACUAAUUAGGAGUAUUAAAUAUAGUCUAAUUACAAAACUAAUUACACAGAUGGAGUCUAAUUCGCGAGACGAAUCUAUUAAGUCUAAUUAGUCCAUGAUUUGACAAUAUGGUACUACAGUAACCAUUUGCUAAUGAUGGAUUAAUUAGGCUUAAUAGAUUCGUCUCGCGAAUUAGUAUAGGGGUUCCGCAGUUAGUUUUAUAAUUAGUUCAUAUUUAGUCCUUCUAAUUAGCGUCCGAACAUCCGAUAUGACCCUCCUCCUAAAAUUUAAAGUUUAGUACAUCGCAUCCCCUAAAAAUUUAAAGUUUAGUACAUCGCAUCCCCUAAGUUUGCGUUAAUUUCAGGAACCGGCUAACGUACGGCCUGUGCAUUUCGGGCAACCAGGUUAUCAAGCUUUUGUCCGCUUUCUUUUUAUGGAAAAUACUUCCACUACAUUUCAAAAGCACAGCCACGGGUGAUCCAGAAACAGAAGAAAUUGCGUAAACAAAACAUGCAAUUCUAUUUAAAAUAUGCAUAUGAUCAAGUAUACACCACAUGAUUCACAACUGCAAAAUAUCAUAAACCUAGCAAUUUGGUUUUUGAUAGUCUAUUUACACAAACAGAUUUGCCUCUCCUUCAUCCCUUCAAUCAAAAAUUGAACAUUCAUGACUCGUGAUUGUGCGGGCAUCUCACAAAAAAAGAACUACCAGCAUAUUAUCAGAGUGCACAUUACUAUACUUCGUACUUGCACAACUGAUGAGCUCCUUUCGUGACCUGCCAUACAGCAAGAAAAAAUGGGACUACAUCAGUUAACAUGGACAUAAUAAAAGGGCAAACAAAUAAAAAUAAGUUGGAUGACCUGAAGAACUAGCAUGUGUAUCCUAAUUAUCAACAGAGGCACUCCAAAUAUAAAAUGUCAUCAGAAAUUGGAUGUUUUGCUUGUUUCGUAGCCAAAAAAAAUGCCUAACUAAAAAUAUUACUUUGCCUAACUAAUAAGAGUGUAUUGCCUAGGCACAGUAAGUAAAUGGCAUUUCAAUAAUAAAAUGAUGCAAACCAAUCUGCGACUAUCAAACUGCUGAAUUGAAUAAGAAAAUAAGGACCAAAGAACUGCACAAACAAGCUUAACAGAUAAGCCAAAAUCAAAAUUGUUUCCGAUGUGGUUGAGCAAAAUCAACCAAACCCACAUGCAGAUACAAUUGGAAAUCAACCACAGAUCAAACCGAAAGCAAAUGGCUGCAAGCUGCUAUGGGAACACAGAUCAAAAUGAGAGCAGAGGACAUGCUAAGGAAACAGAUGGGCUACUAAUCAAACAUCGAGCCUUGUACUGCUGGUGCCAAACAGUGCAAGUAUAAAUAACUAAACUACUCCCAAACCACUCCAAUAGUUGUCACAACUAAACUACUUGAAAAGAUAAAUCAGAAAUAUUUCCUUACCCCCACCUUUUACAUCCACAUCAAUAUCCAUUAUCAACCGUAGUUACUCAAGCUAGUCAUCUAGCUAUCCAACUCAGUACCGCAAAAAAGCAAAAUAACAGAUAGGCAAAACUAGUGAUGCUUAUAUGAUAAAAAAUGCAGGAUCUAGCGCAAAUGCUGCCAUGCCAGGAAAAAAGCCUACAUAUAAUUGAGGGUGAAAAACAUGACAUAUCAUUCCGGUUAAAUAUACGUGCUUGAAUAUCAGAAUCAGAAUGACACAUCACACAUAUCACAUCCAGUUCUGCAAGUGACUAAGAAUAGGACAAAACACUAGAAACAUGUUUUAUCUAAAUCAGGAUAUGUAAAUUGCUUAUCGGAAGCAUUAAAAUGCUAGAAGGACUAAGAUAAUUGCCAAUGAAAAACAAUUAGCAUACUAAUUUGAACAUAGAAAAUGAAAACCUUUUUGGGGGGCACAUAUGACACUGGAUGAUAGCGCACAUCCAUGUGCAUCUACAGUCCUAUAGGCAUUAUAUCAAAUCUCUGGGAAAAAAAAUCUGUAGUGAAAAUUACCAGAAUAAAAAUUGAGUAUGGUGCUUGGGUUAUAGGUGACAUUUUAGUUCUAGGUUACAUUGUAAAAAAAUCAAGUGGUUGUCUAGUGGAUAAAAAGCCAAUAGCACAAAAGCACCAAGCACAAAAUUAAUCAGUAGAAAGCCUGAACAAAAUAGAAUAUCGUGAGAACACUGAAAAUGCUAAUAUCACAACACAAAAACUCAGCUUAAAAACCUAACUUGCAAACUCAUACCAGAGCAUGAAAUUAAGCAGAUAAAUAAAUCUCAACCACCAAGAAACCAAUACUAAGUUGUUCAUCGGGAUUUAACAAAGUUGACAGGCAGCGUAAAAGAAAGCUAAUAGACAAAACUCUGCUGACAGAUUUUUUUUACUGCUUCAAGUUUGGUGCUCAAUCUUCUGUCAUCCAAACAAUCACGUUCUAUGCAUGCAUAUUGUAUAUAUUCAAAAAAAUAAUUUACCUGCACAUUUUAGCCCACCAAACCAUUGCCAUAUCGAGCUAGUAGUACUGCAGUAGUACCAGAAUUUAGUAACUAAUUUCUCAUGUUAAAAUUCUAAGCAUGAAUCUAGAUAUAUUUGAAAAAACUACACCUUUUAUCCCAAAAAAACCAUUGCCAUCUCAAGCUAGAAGUAGUAUCUACCAGAAGUUAGUAACUAUCUCAUGUUAAAACUUGUUCGAGCUUAGCAUAAACACUGCAUCAAACAACCAAGACAUGCACACACUUCAGCUAACACCUCUCAAAAUGGUAUAUCAACACACCUCAUGUCUUACUGCUCUUUGGACUAUUUGUUAAAGAUCAAUAUCAGAAAUGUCAUGAUAAAAAAUAGUUGAGAAUCAAAGCUGCUCACCAAUAUUACUACCAUACAAUCUCAACUACCUAUUUUUCCCAAUUAUCUCAGUUGAUAUAUUGCUCAGAAAAAUAACCAAACUGUGCGGCAACUGAAUUGUGAACCUACGGACAUGACGUCUGGAGCACAACCGGCAUCCGCAUGAAUACAGUGGUGAUUUGCAGCACGAACUCCCUCCAUGUCAACCACUGUGUCCCAGAGCAGAUCUCGUAGCACCAUGGCAUGCUCGUCUCCACCCUUGGCGCACCUAACAGCACCACCAUCAGAAGUUAUAAAACCUGAAACACGCCUCAAAAUAGAGGAGAACAGACAAGGGGACUCCAGCAGAGAGUAUGCGAGGUACGGAAUCAUGGAGACCUCGUCGGCCAUGGCUUCGUCGACCUCCUCAGCGAGCCAGAGGAAGCUCUCUCGUUAGAUUGCGAUGGAGCUUCGCAUUGCCGUAGUCGUCGCCACCGAUUUCUCCUCUUUGCGCGGGGCCGGGUAUAGCCAGAUCCGGCGAGGCGGAGGGCAGGGGACGCGCAAGCCUCGUCGCCGCGUCAGCCACGGCGUCGUCAACCUUGUCAGCAAGUCUGGAGAGGCUCUCUUGGAGGAUCACGAUGAAGCAAGCUGGAUCCGCCAGCCCCAAAUCCCUGAACCCUAACCCGGUCUUGCCUCAAUUAGAGGGAGGUAGGAGGGAAUGAGGAAUAGCAGCAGGAGGAGGAGAACCGACCUCAUCGCCAAUCAUCGCUAUUAGCCAUCAGAGCUCCCCGAAACGCCAUGGAUUUGGAAGAGAGCUUGCGGGAGGGGGAAGAACGGGAGGAGCAAGGAAACAGAAGAGACACGGGUGGGAGAACGGAUAAGGUUGAUGGCCACAUGCGUGUGCAAAUGUUGCGUGGGGAGUAGGGCUGCGGCCGUGCACUGAGCCAAUCUUACGGCCGGCCGGUAGUUUAAAAUUAAUGAAGAUGCUUGUUGCUAUUAAACUGGAAUGUUGGUUGUUGGUUUUAGAAUAAAUGGUGGGUGCAAGAUGGUUGCCAGCCAUCAUCCAAAUCAAAAGAUAGAAUUUAAUGGUUCUUGGCCGUUUUCUCUGUCUCGUGAUGGCGCGCUGCAAACACAUGGUUUUCGAGUACUUUUGGGAAAAAGAAGAUUCUCAAUUAAUACAUGAUAUUCUCCGUCAAUGGUAAAUAUCUCAUGCAAUAGUUAUUAGACAAGAAAUCGCUUAAAACAACAUCGUAUACAAUAAGAGUUUGAUAAACACGCAAGUACUUGUUGGGAAAAAAAAACAAUAAACACGCAAGUCAUGUUACAAUAUUGAUGAUGAUAUUCAAUUUAUUUAGGGGACAUAGUGACAUAUGUUACGUAAAUUUUGUAACCUAUUUUAAUAUAUGCAAGGGCUUCCGUUUGUGAGUCUGUAGACCAUGUUUUCGUUCUUCAAUUAUCAACAAUAAUUGUUGUGCUAUUUUCUUCAUGUCUGGACGAUCUUUGAUGUCGGUGCUCAGAUAUUUAAAUGCAAGAUUGAAGAUAUCUUCAAUAACAACCUCCUCUUCCUUUUUUGCAAUCUCCUCAUCAACCAUAUCAUUUACUAUCUGUUUUCCUUUAAUGAAGCAAGAACGGAAGUAGAUAUGGUGCAAGUUCAUUCUCCACAAAAUCAUCGCAUACCUUCCUCCUAGUGAUGAGUUCUACUAGUACAACUCCGAAACUAGAGGAUGCCUUCACACUUGAACUUUGGACCAGCAUACCCAUUGCUAACUUCUUUUUGCGAGAUUCGUGGUUCUGAAGCAGAAGGUUGAUGAUACUUCUUGUAAUUAUUGCUUUGAGAGGCUCCAUUGCUCAAUGAAGAAGAUACUUGAUUCACAUGCCCAAGUCCAUGACUUAACAUUUGGGGUAUGUUGCCAUGAGUGCUGUGAGGGAUUCCUCCAGCAUUUUAUGCCCCAUAGAGAUGUUCUUCCUUUCGACAAAACUGAGAACCCCUAAAAGAAAUAAAAAAAGUGAGAAAAAUUAGGCUUAAUAGAUUCGUCUUGUCGAAGCCUAAUUUUUCUAAGACACAGUCCCAUGAGAACUCACGCAACACAAUCAGAAUGAGGAUGAGCAUGAUGCCAUAGUUUUUAGAGUUUUGGGCCUUGGCCCAAAUAAAUUCCAGAUAAAUUUUAAAGAUGUGUACUAAAAUUUUUCAGGUGGAUGGUAACCUAUUUUCACAGUGUUCUACCCGCUUAUGAUCCAAGGACUACGCAAGCGGAAAAUUGACCUCUUGUGGUAAGCGAUUAACACAUGUUGUUCACUUAGGGAACAUAUGUGAAAAAUAUGAUUUUUCACAUUUGGUCUACAUAAGGAACCUCAUGUGAUAAUCCUAUUUUUCACAUGUGGUUCCUUAAGUGGACCCAGAUGGUAAUCAUUCCAAAACCUUAAACAAAAGCACCCACACGAAUAAGCUCCAUUGUUCUUCAGCCACCAUCGCACUCGGUCCUACGUGGUAUCGAGGAGCCUAUCUAGAUCCAAACACAAUGAUUAGAUCUCACUACCCUGCAUCCCUUGCAUACUACUCCCUCCGUUUCAAAUUAUAAGUCAUUCCAACUUUCUUGGAGAGUCAAAGCAUCUCAAGUUUGACCAAAUUUAUACAAUAAAGUGCUAACAUUCAUGAUAUCAAAUAGGUACCAUUAGUUUCUUUAUUAAAUAUAUUUUCAUAGUAUAUCUAUUCGGUGCCAUAAACUUUUGUGAUUUUCUCUAUAAUUUUAGUCAAACAUAAAAAUGUUUGACUCUCCAAGAAAGUUGGAAUGACUUAUAAUUUGGAACGGAGGGAGUAGUUCUUAGAUUUGCCUACCUCCGCUAUUGACGAGCUCGCGAUCCACUCCCACAUGGGACGAGGACACAAACGCUACUGAGCUCAUGAAUAUGACCAACCUCCGGAGCACCACCACCACCCAUGUGUAUGAAGUCAUGGAUCCCAGGGAAAACUUUUUCUGUGAAAUUUCAGAGAAAUAUCCAAAAUACGUGUUUAUCAGUAGGUCCCAUAAUUUUUAUCUACCAAAAUUUCAUAUACUGAAACUAUCUAAUAUAUUAAACUUAUGAUAUAUUGCCUUAUUUCUUUGUUGUUACAUACAAUGUUAUGUUAUGAUAUAUGCUAGUUUAGGGACCAUUUCUAGCGAAAUUAUGCAAAAAUAAAUUUUAAGAAAAAAAUUAUCUGAUAUGUUUCCAUCCGAUAAAUUUUAUUUCCUAAUUUUUUUAAGGGCAAACUAUGGGGAACUUCCCCACGGCACUUCAUUUUCAUUUCAUUAUAAAAGAGAUGAAAAAAGUGCAGGGGUAUACUUACAUAUGGAAGAGAAAUAUUUACAAGAAAGGGGAGAGGUGGAUUAAGCUAUGUAAUUGUGUCUAGCCAUGGUAAAACUAUUAGUCUAUGGUCCUCCCUGACACGGUGCAGCUGAAGGACUACUUGCUCCUUGAAUCUCACGACCCAAAGACGUGUUGACACUGUUUUCCCCUCAAAGAUGAUUGCGUCGUUCCUCAUCUUCCAGAUUUCCCAAGCGGCAGUUAAGAAGAUUUCCAUAAAGAAUGGUAGAUGAGAAGCGUCUUUUUGCGAUCCUUACACGGUCAUGUGUAUCGGCUUGGUUACCCCCAGGUUAUAUGCAUAGUGUUCCAGCACCUUACAGAGAAGGGGCACUCAAAAAAGAGAUGGUCUCGCUGCCCCGCGUGCACGUCGACAAGCUGGUGAUCUGGAGCAGUCAAUAGCUUGGCAUUCUAUGCCUUCGCUUUCCAGAGUACCGAUUGGUUACGGAUCACCAACAAUUAUAUAGCUCACCUGUAAUUACUUUGAGCUGCUCUUAGUUUCGCAGAUUCUAAGGCACUGAGAUAAGUUCUCUACAAGGCCCUGUUUGGAAGACUGGUUUUCAGCCUAAAACCGGUGUAAUUUACGGAUCCAGAAUUUUUUCCAAGCUCAACGUGUAAGCCCUUGUUUACUUCGCGAAUUUGGGAGGUGCCAAAUUACUGUAGCAACACUGUAGCGUUUCGUUUGUAUUUGUGAAUUAUUGUCCAAAUAUUGACUAAUUAGGCUCAAAAGAUUCGUCUCGCAAAGUACAACAAAACUGUGCAAUUAGUUUUUGAUUUCGUCUACAUUUAGUACUCCAUGCAUGUACCGCAAGUUUGAUGUGAUGGGGAAUCUUCUUUUUGCAUAGUGUAAAAGUUGGGAGUUUGGAGGUAAGAGAACAAGGGCUAAUUGCUGUUUGGAUAGCAAGUAAACCUAUUUAAAUUACCGUCGGAUUAGCCAGUUACAACCGGAAAUAAAAAAUCUCCUCCGGUGACAACAGUUUUUAUCCGACAAGUAUCGGGCUCCCUCCGCUCGCUCGCUCUGCGGCGGCCACCGGCUCCAUCCUCUCCCUGCUCCGCCCCGUCUGCCGUAGCCGCUAGCUCCAACCUCUCCCUGUCAACGCCGCGCCGCCGCCUGCUCCGCCCCGUCUGCUGCAGCCGCCAGCUCCAACCUCUCCCUGUCAACGCCGCGCCGCCGCCUGCUCCGCCCCGUCUGCUGCAGCCGCCAGCUCCAUCCUCUCCCUGUCAACGCUACGCCGCCGCCCAAUCUUCAGGUGCGGUACUGCCGCUGCUGCGGCCAGCGCCUCCUGCAUCUCAUCUCUACCCAAUCAGAUGCGCCAUCCGGGUCGCUGCUUCUCCGUCGGCGAGCUCCAGAAGUGGUCCUUCCCCAAGUUUGCAUCCGCCGCCAUCGAAAUUUGAUACUCGAUGCGAAUGCUUUUGAUGAAAUAAUGGGCUUGGCCCAUUCUAAUUUUAAAAAUUCCAAAUAAAUAUCAAAAAGUCCAUGUGGUCAUGAGCAAGUGGUGGAGUGGUGCAAUCUUUUAGUUCCAAAUGGCCAACUUAAAUAUGAAAGUUAUCUCUACUCCUCCAAGCUAUGUGUGUGCGGAGAGAAGGAAAGCUCCACGCGCGCUCGCUCGCCACGCCACGUGAUGCGGCUCCUGCGUGAAUAGUCCGCCGAAAUCUAGCCCCUCGCCUUGCGGGGUGCGGUUUCCUUUUGCCGUUUUAUUUUUUGUUUACUUGCCCUUUAAGUCAGCGAGAUAUAUGGAAGUCUAAUCAGUUUAGAUCACGAUCGCGACGUGAGAUAGUGGGCUCUCCUAUAUAUAUACAACCUAUCGGUCUCUACCAAAAAUAUAUCUAAUCGAGCUAGGGUUUUUGCCUCUUCUCACUGCUGCGCCGCUACCGUAGUCUACUCCAUCCCGAGCGCCAGCGUGCACCGGCGAACGGGAAAGCGGGUCUCCGAAACCUCUCGCUCCUGUGAUCCUGCACUGGGAGAGAGCGAAUAAGGUUUUUGGGAAGCGCUCCGCAUGACUGCUCAAGGUCUUCACCACAGCUUGUCUUCCGUCCCAGUCCGGCGUCGCGGCGGCCCAUGGUCUUCGGCGUCAUCUGCUGCGCUCCGUCUGCAACACCGUCGUCGUUCCGUCAGCACCGCUUGCUAUCACAGCUGCAUCCGCAAAGCACGUACGUCGUGAUCCAAUCUGUUAUUUCAGCAUGUUUUCUAAGAUAAUGAAGUUGUGCUUGCUAUUACCUAGUAUGUUAGAUAAUUACAUGCUAGGUUUUAUUCAUAUCAUAAUAAAUCUAGUUUGGAAAUUAAUCAUGCAGUUGUCUAAUUUUUCAACAGCUUUGAGGUUCAAGCCUCCAAUUCGAUGCUCUGGUCGUGAGAUACCUCUUCAGUGCAGCUCCUAUUUGUUGCUCUGGUUUGAAAUUUUUUUGGAAGUCUAAUCAGCCGCUAGGAUUGCUUCAGCUCUCCGGGAGUGGCUCCCUUGCUUCUUUCUCUUUUUUCCCCUUUCUUUUUCGUUCAAUUUGACGUUUGAAAGGAGGCUCCAUGAUUUUACACAAACAGCUAGUUUAGAACAACUCCAAGAGCUCCCUUAACCUACACCAAAACCUUAAUUGGGGAAAAUAGUAAAAAAUAUUGCUCCAACAGGUCCCCUAAACCUCCCGCAAAUUUGCGUUCACCCGCAUCCGGAGCUAUUUUUCCUGUAAAUACACACGGCGCACCUCCUUCCCCAAUCCAUCCACUCACGCCUACUUGCGCCUUUUUUCCCACGCGCGCCAUUUUCCUGAGUGUCUUCGGCGGUGGCAGCGCCGUUCCUUACCCUUGCGGCCACGGCACCCGGGCUUCCCCGAGCGGCGGCGUCGCUGGCCUGUCCUCCCCGAGCGGCGGCAGCGCCCGGCCUUUCCUCCCCGAGCGGCGGCUAAGCCGGCGGCCGGCCCUGUCCUCCCCGAGCGACGGCGGCGUCGGGGCUGUCCUCCCCCCGGCGGCGACCGGCCCUAUCCUCCCUGAGGGCCGCGACAGGAAGGGCCGCACUGUUCUCUGGAUCAUCGGUAACUAGUUCCUAGGUACGUAUCAGAUUUUCCCCAAAUCACAGGCUUCUAGGCUCCAGCAUAUACUGAUGGACCAUGCCUCUAUUUCUAUGUGCAGCUCGAGGCGGAGGAGGCACUACAGCGGCGCCCGGCCUUCCCCGAGGUCUUCUCGGGCGGUAGCGGCGCAAGUUCCCCAGCAGCGGCGGCGCCAGGCCUUCCCGGGCGGCAGUGGCGCAAGAGGCCCGUAGAAGGAGCCACCAAUGUCAAGUGCUCCAAUCCGGCAAGUUCAAGAUCGGCACGACAGGCAGAAGAUGCGUCGGGUCAUGGCUGUCGGCGGCCCCAACACCCAAUGGAAUGGCGGUGUUGCCGGCGAUGAUGAUAAUCCCCUGGCGGAGCAUUACCCUGGCAGCGACACCUCCUAUGCAUCCUUUGAGCACAUGGCCAACGGCAAUAAUUUUCUGAAUGGUAUGGUUCUCAUAAGCUGUUAUCCUAAUUCGUCAAUCAAAUUCAUGUUUUGUUUUUGAAUCAUUUUGCUCAAUGAAUACUCAUCUAUCUGUUCCAUUAAGCUGAGUACCAUUGAGUACCACUGUUCACUUGUUCAAUUCUUGAGAUUUCUGUCCUGGUAAUAUUCUGAAUUAGAUUAGAACAACUUUAGCUGGAAAAUCUGAGCUGAUUGUUCUACACCCAGCAUUCACUAAAUUUGGGACUGCUGAUUGCUUAAUCUUCAAACUCUAUGCCCAAUUUUUGCCGACCUUCACUUCUGUUCCUCUGGAUCAUCAGCUGACGAACUAAUAUGUCCUGAUCAACAAUAAGAAAAGCAUGUACAAUAUUUAUGGAAACAGAGCAAAGGCAUCCAAUCAGUGAGAGUAAAAAAGGACUCAUGCAAGAGCACUUUGAUUAGAAUUGCUAGUACCAUAGUUUAGAUUCAGAGCAGGCUGCCCAUUAUUGUAAAUCUGAGUUAAAAUUCAGCAUCUGUACUUGAGCGCUUGCAGUUGCUUGAGAAAUUGUUACUGCCUACUACUAUUCAUCGACUGAAAACAGGCUGCUCAUUAUUGUGAACAUGAGUUCUGCUUUCUUUUUUCACAGCUUGAGAUAUGAGCUUCAAGUCACUCAUAGUCUCCAGUGUCAUGCUCUGGAAAUCCUGCUUCAGGUGGAGCUGUGCUCGAUUUUCCUAGCAGUGAAUCAUUUUCCGAUGCUUCAAUUGUUGGGUUAUUUGCAAUAAGAUUCCCUCUGUUCAUAUUCUCAAGAAUAUUCUCAAAGUUUUGCCCUUCUUGACUUAUGUUUCAAAGCAUGCUUAAUAUGAUCAACAGUAUAGGGAUAGGAGUCACAGAACAGGAAUAACCACCAUGAUUCUCAAACCUUUACUAUGACAAUGUUGCUUGAGUAAUUGGGAUAGGAGUCCCAGAACAGUUGCUUGAGUAAUUCAGCAUCUAGUUAGGAUGUUGCAGGAAAACAAGUCCUAACCAAAUAAUUUAGUCAUAUAACUGAGCUGACAAAACUAAUUUGGAAAAAAGUUUUGAGAUAUCCAGGCUGCAGCAGCAGCUCUCCCACGUAGAAAAAGAUAUCAAGGCUGACAAACUUACAUUCUCCAAUUUGUAGCAUUAGAAAAAGAAAGGAGCAUCAUAAAACAACUUUGAAAAAGCAGAAGAUACCAGACUGACAAGCGAGCCAUUCUCAAGUGACAAUACCAUUAUAAUUGGAAAGACAAAAUCUUAUUAAUGCCAGGUCAAAAUUCUAAAACCGAGAGCAAUACUUGCGCGAAUUCUGAAAUGGAAUAACCCAACAGAUAUGUUGUUUGACUGAUACAAAAGUACAGAGAUAGUGAGGACAUCUGGUAGUUCUUACAGAAGAAAUGGAAGUGGAAUCCAACUAAAAAUAAUAUAUUUACCUCUGUUCAUCAGCAUGGUAGAAUUACUACUGCUCUAUAUGUUAUGUUCAUUGAGGUUUGAUAGAUAACUUAUCAAUGAUUAAAUGCUUGCAGGAAAUAGAUAUUUUUCCAACAUGAUACUGGAUGAAACCAAUCAAGAAGAUUUUGAUAAUUAUAGCAACACAUAUGCUGACCAACAAUCACAGGCAAUUGAAGAAGUUCCAGCAACCCCAUCCACGAGGUCAAACCAUAAGAUAUCCAAGAAUUUUAGUGACCACAAAGAUGAGGUUUUGGUUUCAGGGUGGCUGAAUGUAAGCUUGGAUCCAAUCGUAGGCAAAGAUCAAAAAAGUGCCAAGUAUUGAUCUCGUAUAUAUGAGUACUUCAAUGAACACAAGACGUGCCCCUCAAUGCAUACCAUAAAUUCUCUCAUGCACUGGUGGGCAUACAAAAAUGUGUGAACAAGUUUUGUGGAUGUCUAUCACGGAUUGAGUUAAGACUUCAGAGUGGUACUUAUUCACUAUGCAAUACAAGGAUUUGUUUCAAAUAUUUUACAUUUAUACAUCAUAUAUGAAUAUCCAUUGGAUGUUGGUGUGCGCAAGUUGCAGAGGCAUGUGCUUUGUACAAGUCCGAAGAUGAACAUAAAAAAGCAUUCCAGUUCAUGAAUUGGAAUAAGCUAAGAACACAAUCAAAAUGGCUUGCUAAAAUUGAUGAAUUGGCUGCAGAAGACAAGCUCAAAUGUUGGCCCAAGUGCAAGUUUACCAAGUGAAUUAGGAGAAGGUGAGGUUCAAGGCAUAGAGGAUAAUGUAUUGACAAGGCCAAUUGGUAAGAAGAAAACAAAAGCAGCACUGCUGCAAGAGAAGAAAAAAAUUAUGACAGCAACCUUAGAAAAUAUGUGGGCACAGAAGAAAGAAACUGAUGGGGAGAAAGAGCUAAAAAAAGAGGAGAAGUUUAACAAAGCAUUUGCUCUUGAACAUGAUCGAGUUGCUCUUGAACAUGAUCGAGUUGCAAAUGAAAAACUACUUCUUGAGUUGAGGAGCCAGGAGGUCCAGUUGCAGAAAAGGAGGGAUGAAGAGAGGAUUAUGACCACGGACCUUACUGCCACGCCAGAUGAGCAAAAGAAAUACUACAUGUCCUUACGGGCUGAGAUCAUGAGCCGACUAUCUAUGCCUAGUGCUUAAUUACUAUCAUGUUUGUUCUGUUGAUUUAGGAACUCUUUUCCAAUUUCAGACUUGUUUUAUUUACUUUGAACCUAUCGAUGAUUUGGUCUGUUUGAUAUUGAACGGUAAAGCCAUUUAGAAAUUUCAGACUUGUUCUGUUCUGCUAAUGAUGGCUUACUUGGUUUGGUAAUUCAGUGAUGCUUUAUGUUGCUUGCUGCAAACAUGAGAGAGUGGUGUUCUGAAGCAAACUGCUUGGUUUGCCUUGUAAUGUCAGGCAUCAUAAUUUUGCACUCUACAAACUUAAGAGGCAGUAUGCAAACAUCCAAUAAAUUAGUAGUAAUGUACCAACAAAUUGUUUAUAUCUGUAUGGUUUAUCUCAAAUUACAAAAAAAAUUUGUAACGUAGCAAAAAUUAUUAAAAGUAACAAUUACUAUGAACUAUAGGCAAUUAUUUGUAGAGGUCUGGAUGAUGUUGCCACAUGUGCUCAAUGAGGUCAUCUUGAAGCUGAUAAAUAUCUUUGUCCCUUAUAUUCUUGUAAUUUUUAAUAAACUCCUCAAGUUCAGGUAUUUCAUCGUGAGAAAUCUUCACCUUUUCUCCCACCCUAUUAUAGUUUAAAUCAUCUUCCUCAUCGCACUCAUCCUCAACUAUCAUGUUGUGCAUAAUGACACAAGCCCUCAUGAUUUGCCUAAGGGUGUCUUGAUCCCAAAAUCGAGCUGGCCUCCUAACGAUAGCGAAACGAGACUGUAGAACCCCAAACGCUCGUUCCACGUCCUUCCUUUAAGCUUCUUAGAUAGUUGCAAAAUAUUUUUUCUUGUUACCUUGUGGUUCAGGUAUGCUCUUCACAAUUAUGGCCCACGAGGGAUAUAUGCCAUCAGCAAGAUAAUAACCCAUUGUAUAUUCAUUGUUAUUAAUGGUAUAAUUCACCUUUGGAGCUUGACCUUCAGCUAGUCGUGCGAAUAAAGAAAACUGGUGCAAAACAUUGAUAUCAUUGUGGGAACCAGUCAUCCCAAAGAAAGCAUGCCAAAUCCAAAGAUCUUUAUCUGCAACAGCUUCAAGUAUAAUUGUAGGCUCAUGCACAUUCCCGGUAUACAUACCUUGCCAUGCUGAAGGAUAAUUUUUUCACCUCCAAUGCAUACAAUCAAUCGACCCAAGCAUACCAGAAAAACCUCUACUCUCUCCAAUGGCAAGUAAUCUAGCAGUAUCAUCUUCAUUAGGUGAUCUCAAGUACUCAUCUUCAAAAACCUCAACAACAGCAUUGACAAACCUUCUUAAACUCUCAAUAGCAGUACUCUCACCAAUACGGACAUAAUCAUCUAUAGCAUGAGCUACUACUCCAUAAGUUAACAUGCGAAAUGCUGCAGUAAUCUUUUGCAGACUAGAAAGGCCAAGUACACCGGCAGCGUUUCUUUUCUGCACAAAAUAUUCAUCGUGUUGCUCUAUCCAUAUACGUACAAAUAGUGUAAGCCUCAUUUGAAACCUGCAUGUCAAGAGUAAUGAGACACAUGUAUAAUAUGAAUUUUUUGAAAAAAUGGUCCAAAUAAAUCUAUUGUUUACGUACCGUCGUCUAAAAUAACUAUGUCCGUACGUAGGAUUAUCUAAAAAAUAAUCUUGAUACAACCUUUGAUGUCCUGCUUGUCUGUCUCGCCGAAGUACUCGAUGACCUAUGAUAGAACCAUGAUGUUUUAUUUCAUCAUCGGACUCAUCCGCAUCCACGGCCAUAUGAGCAACAGAGAGUAAGAAAUCAUCAUCGUCAUCAUCUGACAACGAAUCCAGCACCAGAUGCAUUGAAAGGCUUCGUCGACUCAUAGCGAAUCUUGGACGGUCGGCACCAGAUGCAGAGGCUGCCGGCGUUGCACGACGCACGCAGUGCGCAGGGGCCUUCCCCAAGUGGCAUGAUUAGGAACCGGAUAAGAAAGGACCUGCGCAAGGGCUCCAGUAUCGGCGUUUGGAGGAGGGCGCCGUGUGCAGCUGCCAGUCUGGCGGCGAUGGCAGCUGUGAUCGUGAGGAGGGGAUGGGAAAAAAGGGCCGUGCGCAAGGGCUGGGAAAAUAGGGCCGUGCGCAGCUGCUGUCUGUGGCGUAAUCGUGAUGAGCGUCUACGGCGUGAUCAUGACGAGGCUGGGAAAAAAGGCCGGCGACGCGAGGGUUCCCAAGGUGCUGAAAAAACAACAGAUUCUAAUGAGUCCAAUACGAUGACGUGGCAUGUUUUGAAUUAUUGGAGAAAGUUUUUAACGAUAUGCUAUGAGCUCAUAUAUUUUAGGGGGAAAAGUUUUUAGCAUAACCCUCAAUAACUCAUUUUCUAAGAGAGCUCUUGGAGUUGCUUUGCAGAGGGUUUUUUUUGCACAACAAAUUACAUCUGGAAUCCAUUUACAGGUGAAACAACCUACAAGAUUCCCAAACAGUCGAUGCACACAGAUCCGGAACCUAAAUCAAAAUUGAGAUAAUUUUCCAUAUGUAUCCCCCACAUUUACAGCCAGCAACCGUAUUUUCGCCCUACCAGCUGCACGUACCGGCCCUUAGCCGUGUCACGUGUUACAGCCAUCGAUCCCAAAGAUCCCGAGAAGCUCAGACGGUGGCAAGCUUCUUGCCGAGGAUCAUGUCGUCCGUGGUGAAGUCGGCGGCCUUCCGGAACGUGCCGCGGCCGAAGUCGAGGUUGUACGAGUCGGUGAGCCCCUCGACGAGGUCGAACUCCGGCGUCCACCCAAGCUCCCUGGUCGCCUUCUCGAUCGACGCGAAGAAGUGCUGGAAAUUAAAAUCACCCAGCGUCACAAACACAAGCCAGCUCUCAUCUAUCACUAGUAACACUGAGGGAUCUCUAUCUUUGUACCUGGUCCCUGAACGGGAAGGCCUUCUUCUUGCCGAAGUCGAAGUCCUUGGGGUUGUAGUGGACGAGCUCCGGCUCAGGGAACCCUCCAGCCUGCACAUCAAACAGCCACAUCCAUUGCUGAAUCGCUGAACUCUGAACAUCACUAUUUCUUGUUCUUGGCGAGAUCUCUCAUUACCUUUGCGCAGGCCCGUGCGAGGCCGUCGAAGGUGACGUACUUGGCCCCGGAGAUGUUGAAGAUCUGCUGGCUCGCCUUGGGGUUGCCGAGCACCAGGUUGAACGCCGUGGCCAGGUCCUUGACAUGGCCGAGCUGGGUGAUCUGGUUGCCGGCGCCGGGGAUGGGGAUGGGGCGGCCUUCCUUGAGGCGGUGGAAGAACCACUCCUCGACGGGGUUGUAGUUGAGCGGGCCGUAGAUGUACACGGGCCUGAUCGACGUCCAGUUCACGCCGCGGGAGGUCAGCAGGCUCUCCGUCUCCAGCUUCCCCUUGUGACGGCUCUUGGGGUCCACCGCAUCGCUCUGCCGGCCAAGAACAAUGGUGAGAGCCCCUGGCGCCAUUUUAAUGGUGCCAUUGUGUGACAGAGAGGAUUUGGACAAACCUCGCAGUGUGGAAGAAGGUCGGAUUUCAGGUACACUCCGGCUGAUGAGCAGUAGAUGUACCUGGAAGUUGAUUUUUUGGAAUUUGGGACGAUGAGAGAUGCAUUGGGGGGGUACUGUAUGUAGCUUGUGAAGUGUCAGAUGAAGUGGUUAUAGCUUACUGUUCCAGGUUGGGCAAGGCUUCGAUUAUGGGCUCAACUUCGACAGCCUCGCGUCCUGAAACCACCGUGAGGCAAAAUGCAUCAACAGCAUGAUGCUACACAAUGUUAAUGCUUUGGCGAAAUGCGAUUGACGAUGUGGUGCUAUGCAAUGCUAACUUUUUACUAAAACCUUUCCUAAAACAGACUACUAAGGGUGAUUGCAGAAGAGCACUUUCACGGUGCCCACAGAAUUAGCAUACUGGUUUGCACCUGAGCAGGUUCUUUACAGUCUAUGUAUAGAGUUUUGGACUUUCAGUUGUAGUUAUUUAAGCUUCGAAUAGUAUUACCGUUGAUGUCGUAAACGACAUUGUAUCCCUUAGCAGCAAGGCUUGUCUUGACGAAUUCGAAGUCCAUCCUGUCACCUUUCAAGUGCUGAAUCUGUACAGAUGCAAACCAUCCCAAACCCAGCAUCAAUACGGAUGAACUUGUGAUUUCGGUAACACUUUUAUACUGUCCUAAACAGUAUGAUAUCCUCUAUACCUUUAGUAUCCUUACAUUCUUACACGCACAUUACAUGUGAAGAAUCCUACUGAAUACUGACACAGUGUAUACAUAUGAAGAAAAGAGGAGGAAACAGGGCACCUUGGAGGAGAACUCUGCGUACUCUGCAUCGGACUCUCCUGGCAGCUGCUGGGUGAUGGGUGCCUUUCCUCUAGUGAACAAUGUAACCUGACCAAACAGAACUUCAACUUUUUUUUUUAAAAAAAAACUCUUUCUUUUAACUGACUGUACUAUUGCUUGGCCUACUGAUCAUUGCUGAGCAAAGGCACUACUGACCUGAUGGCCCUCCUUGACAAGGAGCCUGGACAGGAAGACACCAAUGAACCUGGUUCCCCCCAUGACAAGAAUGUUCUUGGAGUCCGCAGCCGCCGAGACCUGAAUCCUCGCCCCUCUCGGCUGCCAUGACCUCCUCCUCUUCUGCCAAACAAAAAUUUCCCACCCCUCAACCACGUCAGGUUCAUCGGCAUGCCGGAAUACGUCACGCUCACUUAUCAACAAAGGCAUUCCUGUUCUGCGGAUUUUGUCACCUGCGUUGAGACGGAGACGGCCGCGCCGCUGAAGUCGGAGAUAGGAGAUGGGAGGAGGAAGCUGCUCUUCAGGGACGCCGUGGCCGCCAUGUCGCUCUUCCUCCGCUCUACUAUAAAACGAAGAAGAAAACAAGAGAGAGAAGGAUUGAUGGCUGUGUAUCGCUUGUCUGGAUCUUGUGGUUCAGUCUGUGCUAAUGGAACAAGGAAAGAGGAGAGAAAUGAGGUGAUGGGACGGUUUUGGCGUGUGUGGAGGGGGAAGCCAGCCCUAUCCUCUGUUGGAUCAUCUCCUCUCGUUCUUUCAUCUGUCCACUUGUUGGCAGCUUGCUGAUCGGCUGAUACUGAUAGCGACAUCUUUGUUCUAGGACAAACCAUGGGUGAGAAGGACUAAAGGUGUGUCCAAUCGUUGUUCGUUUAAACAUAUAUUGUAGCUCAAUUUGCUAUUGGGCAAUUGCUAGCAUUCCUCUAAUAAAAAAUAUACAGUUAUUAAAGUGGGAAUAAUUUUAAAAAAAUGCCAUAAAAGACAUAUGAUUGGAAAUUUCUAUUUGAUGCACCACGGAACCAGACACUUUGCCGAGUACCACAGACACUCGACGAAGACACGAAAACACUCGGCAAAGGCUUUGCUGAGUGUAACAUUCGGCAAACAGCAUACGGCAAAUUUCCUGUCGGCAAAGACUAGUUUGCCGAGUGUCAAAACUCGAGCACUCGGCAAACAUUUUGCCGACGGCCAAAAAACACUCGGUGAAAAUAUGUACUCGGUGAAAUACGCGCUGACGGCGUCGGGGGUAACGGCGGGUUUGCCGAGUGCCAGACGGUAGACACUCGGCAAAACCGGCUUGUUUGCCGAGUGCCUUGUCCCUGGCACUCAGCAAACAAGGGGUCUUUGCCGAGUGCCUUGUCCCUGGCACUCGGCAAACAACUUGCGCUGCACCAGGGAAUUAGAGCCUUUGCCGAGUGCUUUGUCCCUAGCACUCGGCAAACAAGGGGUCUUUGCCGAGUGCCUUGUCCCUGGCACUCGGCAAACAACCUGUGCCGCACCUGGGAAAUGCACCUUUGCCGAGUGUUAAAGCCAAAACACUUGGCAAAGGACUCUCUUUGCCGAGUGUUACACUCGGCAAAGUGACCAGAACCCUCCCUUUUUCCCAUUUUCCCACGUAUAACGGACCCCUCUCAAUUCACAAUACACAUCAUCACAGGCAUUUGUAAUAAACAAUCACAUGCAUAAUUCACAACCACCAUUAGAAACAUUAUUCAUAAACAUCACAGGCAUAAUUCAACAUAAGCACAAAACAAUCCAUAAAUCCAAGUUCAAGUCACAAUUUAGUUCACAACCAAGUCUAGUUCUGUGGAGGCCAAGGAGACCACUGCGACAAAUCUUGAUCUUCAUUAUUCGAAGCCGCCGAUUGAUUCUGCACAUAGGAUAGGACAUUCUGAACUAACAUCUAAAGUUGUCAAAAUUAAAGUAUUGAAUCUUAAGCACAAUGUGUCAAGUGACUCACAGGAGUAGUCGUGGGUGGCUGAGGCGGAGGGAACAUCAUCGGCGGUGGUGGAGGCAAAGACUGUCCCAUGCUUGAAGCAAAAUUCUGCAUGUACUGGAACAUCUGCUCCAUCCUAAUCCGGUUUUCUUCCUCCAUCCUCCGCCGCAUGUCCUCCAUCUGCGCCACCAUCUCCUCUUGUUUCUUCCUUGCUUCUUCCACCUGGACCUACAAUAUUUCAUUGCAAUGUUAUAAUGCAAAGCUAAAGUAUAACAACAAACGAACGAUGAAUGGAAGAGAAAGAACCUGGAGAGCCUCCAUCUGGAACUGUGCAGUGGUGGGUCGUGGCCGUAUCGCCGGGCUCGAGUCCGUGCUCCUAGCUCGGAUCUGGGAGAGAGUGGGAGUAGAGGCCGUGUCGAUGACGCCGUCGCCAAUCCAAUAUCGGCUAUGCUUCUUGCCUCCUCCCACCCUCAUCACGAUUUCUCCAUCAAUGUCCUCGGAGCUCGGAUCGAAGUCUGGCCCAUGAAGCUCCCUAGCCAUCUUUGUAUACUCGUUGAAGCGGCUGUGUAUGCUAGGGUGGCUGUACGCCUCGGACGGGUCGUCUGGGUUGAAAUCGAUAUCGGCCGUCGCCUUGCCCUUUUUGGAGAGGACCCAUGCCUUGAGCUGGGAGCAAGGUCGGCCAUCAUGUGACGCCGACUGCGGCAAAAAAUACAAAAUGAUUAGGAAUUAUGUAGAACUGAACGUUACAAUAAACAAUUGAAGUUGCGUACCCAUUUUUCUCUAUAUUCAUCAAGGCUUAGGCUGCCUUGAUGGUGUGGUGCAGUCGGCAUCUGCAAACGCCGCUGCCGGCAAGCAAGGUGGUUCUCCAACCACCCGGGCUCCAACCACACGUCGACCAUCCUCUCCCAGCACGGCAUAUGCGCACGACACCACCACGGAGACCACCCCGUCUUGUCAAGCCAUUCAUUGGUCAACGUAUUCUGACUAGUGCGACCCGUGUACAUCCACUGACGAUCCUCCAUCCUCUACCAUUUAAGUGAGUAAUACAAAAUUCACAUUGCAUAUACACGUUCCUAUAUUGUCUACUAGGUAAAGAUAGGUCCUAAUCCCACCCGAGGAUGUGAGGUGGGUUUCGUAUCUAUGGUUUACUCCGACCCCGAGAAAAAAUUCUGGGCCACCUUCCCAGAUGUUCUCCAAAGUUAUAUCCCUUUAAUGAGUCUCUGAAAUUUGAGCAUCCCAGAGCUGCAAUGAGAAAAUACAAAAAAGAUUUGAGGUCAAUCUUGAAAACAAAAUNNNNNNNNNNNNNNNNNNNNNNNNNNNNNNNNNNNNNNNNNNNNNNNNNNNNNNNNNNNNNNNNNNNNNNNNNNNNNNNNNNNNNNNNNNNNNNNNNNNNNNNNNNNNNNNNNNNNNNNNNNNNNNNNNNNNNNNNNNNNNNNNNNNNNNNNNNNNNNNNNNNNNNNNNNNNNNNNNNNNNNNNNNNNNNNNNNNNNNNNNNNNNNNNNNNNNNNNNNNNNNNNNNNNNNNNNNNNNNNNNNNNNNNNNNNNNNNNNNNNNNNNNNNNNNNNNNNNNNNNNNNNNNNNNNNNNNNNNNNNNNNNNNNNNNNNNNNNNNNNNNNNNNNNNNNNNNNNNNNNNNNNNNNNNNNNNNNNNNNNNNNNNNNNNNNNNNNNNNNNNNNNNNNNNNNNNNNNNNNNNNNNNNNNNNNNNNNNNNNNNNNNNNNNNNNNNNNNNNNNNNNNNNNNNNNNNNNNNNNNNNNNNNNNNNNNNNNNNNNNNNNNNNNNNNNNNNNNNNNNNNNNNNNNNNNNNNNNNNNNNNNNNNNNNNNNNNNNNNNNNNNNNNNNNNNNNNNNNNNNNNNNNNNNNNNNNNNNNNNNNNNNNNNNNNNNNNNNNNNNNNNNNNNNNNNNNNNNNNNNNNNNNNNNNNNNNNNNNNNNNNNNNNNNNNNNNNCCCCCGGUGAGUCCUGGCGUACGACGAAUUAAAGCCGAGUGCUAGAUCAAGGGCACUCGGCAAAGGCUAUUUCCCCAUGAAUUUGUGACUCACACUGACACAUGGACCCUUGGCGGGCUUUGCCGAGUGCUCUGGGGUGACACUCGGCAAACAAAGUAAUUGCCGAGUGCCCUACUGCAACACUCGGCAAAAAGGUACCCAUAUUGCAUGUGCAAAAGCACUUUUAGUAAUUAAAAGUAUGUAAACUUUGUGUAAACCUAGUCAAAUUCACUAAACAUUGUGUAUUCCAUUUUUUAAGUAAUAUUGUUCCAUUAUUUCAUGGAUUUAUAGCUCAUAUUGAAUUUAUAUCUAUUAAAUUCAUAUACUUGCAAUUAAUAAAUAAAAAUUAUCAAACGGAUCCGAAAAAUCCCCAAAAUUUGACAUGAACCAAUCUAUGUUCUCUAUGGCCUAUAAAAAUAAAUUAGGACUCAAUGACAAAUUUAAGUAUCGAUUCGACUCAAAAUCUUACUGGAUCCUUCCAACUUCUACGAAUCCUCUCCGGAGAUGCUUCGAAUUCUAAGCAUCAUAUGUCAAAACUUGUGCGAAACCUUGUCAAUUUUUUACCACAGCCUCUGCAUAUGAAAUCAUAGCAUCUUGCAAAAUCUCGUGAUUUUCAAACUUCGUUUGUAUUUUUGAGAAUUACAAAAUCAUUUAGCCACACGUUCGUAGUCGUGUUUCCUUAACAAAAUGUUCGAAAUUUCUUUUCAUUUUUUGGGUAAGACCUCAAUUUGGACUCACUAACAUGAAUAUGAUUUUUCCACUCAUAUUAUUCCAUUAUUCCAAACACCUGCAGUUCAAAUUUGACUUAAAUCAACAAAUUACUCUAAAUGAAAUUAAUUGAUUAAAUAUAGCAAACAGGUCAAUAAGAAGUCCACCUUGUACCAUGCAGUGGCAAAUCUCAUACAUGUGGAGUAUAAAAAGUUUGGAGGGGGGAGGAGGGAAUUUUUUUUUGCCGAGUGUGCCAAAAAACACUCGGCAACCUCUCAGGUUUGCCGAGUGCCCCACCGAGACACUCGGCAAACUCGCAUCUUUGCCGAGUGCCCCAUCGAGACACUCGGCAAACGGGUCCUUCGCCGAGUGCCCACAAUAAUACACUCGGCGAAGAAAUUACACUCGGCGACUUUGAGGUUUCCCGUAGUGAUGCUAGGCAGAUGAGUGAGGAAAAGGCAUACAAUCCGAAAAUAUUAACUGAUCCAUCAAAAAAGAGAAAAUAUUAUUUGAUGCUACGCUGACAAGUGGGGCACAGGGCCAGAAUGAGAGCUUUACUAUCCUAUGCAACUGAGCUUUGCAAAGGCCACAGGUGGACCUUCAAAUGGACAUUCCAAUUUCAUGUCACUGUGUUUUUUCUACCGGAUUUAUCAAAAUCUUUUUUUUGAACGGACAGGCACGGGAUUGUGCCUAUUUCAUUGAUAGAGUAGGAGUAUACAGGAAAUAAAGAAAAAGAAGAGGCUGAAGGGACUACUCUCGUGCUGGAAGUAAUGCUAAAUCUUUGGUCCCCACCAAGAGCCAAGCUGAGGCCUCAUCCUUAAUUUUCGCCAUUGUUGAGGUCUCGUGUCUGUUGAAGAUGCGUGCAUUCCACUCUCUCCAAAUCUCCCGCAUGAUGAGAAGAGUGAGACUUCUUAGAGCCUUACGCGGUGAAUCUGGUGUUGUAGUUAUAGAAGUCCACCGUUCCAGAGCGUUGGAUAAGGGUCGCCAGGCAUUGGGCCUUAGGCUAGGCUGCGCUAGCCAUGUCGCCAUUAGAUCCCAUAUCCUCCUUGUGUACCUGCCCUCGGCCAAAAUAUGGUGACUAGUCUCCAUGGUACGUCUGCAAAGAGCGCAAGUGGCGUUGUGAGGUCAUCAGCGUUUGGCCAACCUGUCAGCUGACCAAACUCGGUUUUGUGGAAUUAGCCACGCGAAGAAUUUACACUUUGGUGGCGCCCACGUUUUCUAGAUGGAAGAGAUAUUCGGUGUUUCGGUGCAAUCCCUCCUGUGCUUUAUAUGUCGAAGCCAUUGUGUACAUGCCCGAUUUUGUCAGCUUCCAGGUGAUAGUAUCAGCUUCCCUGGCUGGAGUUCCAUACGUCUGACCAUAUCCCAUAGCUAGGUGAAUGACGCUAAAAGUGAAGUAUUGAUGUUGUUGUCGAUUUUAAGGUCACGAAUCUAGUUGUUAUUACUGAUGGCAUCAUGGACGGUCCUGUUCUUUCUUCGUGAAAUAUCGAAGAGGAGCGGGGCGAUGUCCUUUGGACGCUGGCCAUGUAGCCAGCCAGAUGUCCAGAAGCUGGCCUUUUUGCCGUCGCCCAGGGUGAUAGCCGUGCAUGCAGUAAAUAGUUGCCUGUCCGACUCAUCGCAUGGGGUUUCCGUGUUGUGCCAAGGCUUUUUUGGUGACGUCCAUUCAUGCCAAAGCCACCUGAGCUGGAGGGCUCGUGCGAAUUUCUCAACAUCUAGGAUGUCCAGUCCCCCAUAUUGUUUCAGUAGGCAGGUUUUCAUCCAGUUGACUUUGCAUUUACCCCCGGUUAGUUGUUGGUCUCCCGCCCAGAGGAAAUUUUUACGGAUUUUGUCUAAGUCUUGGAGUACCUCAUUGCUUGGCUUUAGAGUUGUAAGGAAAUAUACCGGCUGCGAAGAAAGGACCGACUUCGUGAGGGUUAUUCUACCUGCCUGUGUUAGAUUUCGUCCAGUCCAUGCUGACAGUUUACCUGCCACUUUAUCUAUGAGUGGUUGGAACUCAAUUUUCCUGAGGCACCUUGUUGAUAAGGGAAGACCAAGGUAGCGCAUGGGGAAGCUUGUUCUUGUCACCAGCAAAUCGUUGAGUAAGUGGUCAAGAUCGAUGGUAUGGCAGCUGAUGGGCGCAAUCUGUGUCUUGUGCAGGUUCGUGCGUAGUCCUGUGGCUUCCCCGAAUUGUUGCAAUAUGCUCGCCAAGUUGGAGAUGUCUUUGCGUGUGGGCUUAAUAAAAAUGGCAGCGCCGUCCGCGUACAGGGAUGUUGUAAAUCUUACCGCUCUUCCUCCUAGCUUGGUGAGUAGGCCCCUAUGAGUCGCGUGAGCAAUAAUGUGUUGUAGUGGGUCAAUGGCUAGAACAAAAAGAAGGGGUGAAAGUAGGUCACCCUGUCUGAGGCCUCUGCCAUGCUGGAUCGGUGGCAAAGGCGUGCCGUUAAGUAGCACUUUUGAAGUUGAGGUAGCAAGGAGGGCCAUGAUCCAUUGGUUUCAACGAGCAGGAAAGCUUUUGUGUUGCAGCAAGUCGAUGAGGUAGUCCCAUCGGACUGAAUCGAAUGCUUUAGAGAUGUCUAGCUUCAUGAAUAGAUAUGAUAUUUCAGCGUCAUAGUCAUUUUGUCCAAGUUAUAUUUGUAAAACUGUACAUAAACAAUCAAAGUGGGACAGUGACAGCUUUGUAAAGUAAUAAGCAAUCAUCCUCAAAACACAAAACUCUAAAACGAAAAGAAAAGAACUAUCUUUAUUUUGAAGCCCUGAACUACUUGGCACUUUAUUCCUAAGAACCAAAACUGGUGUCCCCAAAUCGCAAACAAGCACAUGCUAGCGACCAUACAGUUCCUUCACUCGUUUUUAAUCAUCUUCCGGAACCAGCGUGCAGAGUCCUUGGGGUACCUCGCGAACGUGGUUCGGUCCACGUAUACGAUUCCAAAUUUGGAGGUGAACCCAAGCCGCCACUCAAAGUUGUCCAGCAGUGACCAAGCAAAGUAUCCGAUGACAUUUGCGCCGUCGUGUAUCGCGCAUUGGAGCUCAUAAAGGUACUUCUCGAAGUAGUCUAUCCUGAACUUGUCGUACAAUGCACCGGGCAAAGAAUCAUUUCCGGAUUGAUCGAUUCCUGGACAUAUGAUCAUUGAAUUUUGCAUCAAGGUUCAUGCCUUUAAGAUUGUGUCACAAUGCUACUGUUCAAUUUAUGAUAACUGAAGAGCUGCUGGGUGAUUUACCGUUUUCGCCGAUGAGCAUGACAGGGUUGUUGAACUUCUCCUUAGUCCAAAGGAGAGCUUUGUAGAGCCCCCAUGGUACCACGUAAAGCCAGUCAGAGUAUCCCUGCAUAAGUAUUUGCAGAUCAGAAAUUUUUUUUGCCUAAGUUGUAAUCUUGUUCAUUAUCUGGGUCAAAUGUAGCGAUUGAUGAAAAAUAUUGUUACCUUUUUCCCAAUUGGCACACCGUUUCGCUCAUCUGAAUAGAUGAUCCAAGGUGUUAGCUAUGCGGAUAAAGAUUCAUCAAAUAAAAAGAUGGCUUUUGUAAGUUGUUAGCGCGCGUUGAAUAACCGUACAUGAAAGCUUGACAUGCCAGUCGUUCACAUAACUCGUGUGUGUCUCGUUGGCGAAGUUGCUGGCAUAAUAUGUGGUGUAGUGGUUGAUGGCGAUGUAAUCUGCCGAGCCUUUCACCAUUGCAGACUGCUCAAAGGUGAAGUUGGGCAGCCUUCCCAUCACAAUCUUCUCCAUCGUCUCCGGGUAAUGGCCGAAGGUGAUCGGGUGCAGGAACCUGAAACAAAAUUGAAUCGGAUGUGUGUUCAGUUCAGUCCAGCCACCGCUGCGCCCGUGGUACCAUUAGAUGCUGAUGUGUAAGGUUUAUCACCAGCCAAGGGUGAACAUCCUCGCCCGGUGCGCUGCGAAUUCGUCGUCCAUGGAGGGUGUGAGUGGCUCAUACCACACGAAGUCGAGCAGGAUGCCGAUCUUCCCAGUCUGCUGAGCCUGAAAUGUGCUUUCCGGCAUGAUGAGCAUGGUGCAAACUGGAAAGAAAGAUUGUUAACGUAGAAUGAGGAGAAUGGGGCAGUCACUAGCCUGGUACUUCUCACGGUACAACUUGACAGCAGAGGCAUGGGCCAGGAGAAGAUGAUGGGCGGCGAUGUACGGCUCGGUGGCGGAGUUUCCACCGAAGUGGCAGCCGGUGCAUCUGGCAGGGGGGAAGAAGCCGUCUCCGUAGCCGUGGGCGGCCAUCAUCCUGGGCUCGUUUAUGGUGAACCAGUUCUUCACCCGGUCACCAUACGUCUUAAAGCAAAAAUCUGCGAACUUCGUGAAAUCUUCCCUGCAAAAUGGUAGGCAUGAACACAAACCAGGUUAUGUUAUGACUUUUUGAAAACAGUAGUAUGGUUUUCUUGUAGUUUUGCUGCUAGAAAGAUGGUGUUGAUCGUGAACACUACUUACACAAUUCUGGGGCUUAGCCAGCCGUUAUACUGGUCUUGCAGCACCUGAGGAAGGUCGUAGUGGUAGAGCACAACAUAGGGAGUAAUAUCUGGUCCACAAAAAAAAGACAAGUCUCAUCAGUUAAAUGCAUCCAAAUCUGGCAUUCACAAGAAAGAAAUCUCCUUGGCAAGAACACAAAGAAAGGUCAAGAUCAUUGUCUUUACGGCUCUCGAUCAAGUAGUUGAUGAGCCUGUGGUAAUAAUCCACACCAUCCUUGUUGAUCCUCCCAAUUCCACCUGCAUUUUUUUCCCAAAAAAACAGAAAGACAUUGCAGGGAAAACCCUAUGAGUCACCACUGAUUGUAACUUUGUGAGUAUGUUUCAGCACGUACUUGGGAAAAUGCGUGACCAUGAGAUCGAGAAGCGGUACGCAUCGAAGCCAACCCGCACCAUAUUGUCCACAUCGUCCUGCAAGAAGAGACAACCGGGAGAGAAAAAAAGGAACUCAAAUGAAUCAGACAUAGACAUAGAUCAUUUAGAAACCGAAGCACCAAGAUCAGACAUUGGACGAACCAUGUAGCGAUUGUACUCGUCGACUGUCACAUUCGCAGUGGAGUUAUCAGGAGUAGUACCUGCCCAAGCACAUCCAGGAGUGGCCAUCAGCGACAGACGUCAGAUCAGGGGCGCCACAUGCAUCUUCAAGUAUGUAGUAAUGCACGAUCGUUUCAUCCAUCUCACCUGGGUACUUGAGGAAGGUGUCCCAGAUGCAGGGCCCCCUGCCGUACUUGAGCGUGUUCCCCUCCACCUGGUACGCCGACGACGCGGUCCCGAAGACGAACCCGGGCGGGAAGGCCUGCCUGGUGAGGUUGCCGUGGUCACCUGGCUUGCCGUGCGCGCCGAGCGCCAGGGAGAGGGCGAGGAGCCCAUGGAAGAGCAGGAGGGGCAAUGGCGCAGGGGUCGCCAUGUCGGAGGACAGUGGCAGGUGAGGGACUCGGAGGUGGCGGGGGGAGUCUGAUCUGCGUAGGCCGCUAUAUAUGGAGACCGGGGAGCGGAGGACGCGAUCCGGCAGCCGCAUGCAAGAGCAGAGCUGAAAUGGCGGCGCUGGGUUUGAACAAGAGACUGUUUCUUUCUUGCACGCGUAGGGGUAGCUCUCCCACGCACUCCUCGUCCCGGUGAUUGUGGAGACGUGCCUCUGUACUCGUCCUCAGCCACCAGUAUUUCUUACUCCUAUAUUUCUAUUUCUUUUCGGGGUUUUGGAAUGGGUGAUUAGUUAGGCUUUGAUGCUAUGAUGUUGCAUUUUCCUUCUUGAGCUCCGUGAUGUUUCUAGAGUGGGCGUGGCGUGCGCCGCAUGAGGAGAUCAUAAGUGCAUCACCAGAAUAUUUCUGGACUUGAGAUGUGGUCAUGGCCUACAGGAUCAAAUCUAUGUUGUAACUUAUUGUAUCUCACUAAUGUGGCUAUUUUUUUAUGCUGGAUGACGUGUCCAUUGAUAGUAAGACGUCUAUGUCAUUGAUAGUAAGAUGUCUAUGGUGACCAUCAAUCUCAGUUUGCAGGUUCAAUCUUAUCAUUAUGAUAGGGUGCACGUGCGUGGUUCUUAGACCAAACCUCCGAGAUUGAAAGAAACGAAAUCCAGGUCAUCAGUAAACAUAAUGAGAAAAUCUGAAUCAUCACUGUAUUAUUCAAUCUUUUCCUUUUAAAAAUAUAAUAAUAAUAAGCAUGUUUUCAUAUAUUUAUUGAGCUCGUAGACUCCCUUUGUCCUAAAACGCACUCACAUUUAAACUUCUUAAGCUUUGACCAACAAUUAGUCUAACAAAUAUGAAAAGGUUGUGUUAUGGAAUUGUGGUUACAUUACAUUUGUAAUUAGAAAUAUAGGAAUCUUACUGUUACUAAUUGGAGGAUCUUUUUGAAGCUUUCAGGUGAAGCCACCUAGGAUUCCUAGGUGAACACUCUAGAAAAAGAGGGAAAUCCUAAAAAUUCUUACAAAAAAGCAAAACAUCCGACCAUCAAUCGAUAUAUUCAAAUCAUCAUAGCCAUUGGAUCUAUUAUGUUUUCUAAAAAAUUACCCACCUAUGCUAUUAUGAAAAUAGCCUAAAGUAACCCCCUAAAUCUAUAUAUAAAUUACCCACCUCUGCCAUUAUAUAAAAUAAACUAAAGUAGCCCUCUAAUCUUUAUCCAAAUUACCUACUUAUGCCAUUAUAAAUAAUAUUUAAAAUAACCCUCUAAUUUGCAACUGAAUUGCCUACCCCUAUUACUUAAGUUUAAACUUAAAGUAACCCCUUAAAUUUGCAUCUAUAUUACCCACAUAUGCCAUUAUUAAAAAUAACAUGAGGUAACCCUACAUUUGAAUCAAAUAACCUUAAUUAAAAAUAUACAGCAAUAUAUGAUUCAAAAUCGUUUAUAUCUUUCACUAUUGGUAUAUGAUAUAACAAUUAAGGUCUAUACGCAUGAUUUGUGUCACCAUUUAUAGGGAUAUAAAAUAAUGAUAAUAUAGAUUUUUAUGCUAAAAUUGUAUCUCAAACUUAGGGUUCAUUAAAUAAAUUCAAGCGUAUACCUGUGAUGCAAAGUGAAAAGUUAAAGAUUAUAAAUGAGGUUGAAAAUAUUAUAGAGUAAUUACUAACUAAAAUCGAUCACAAUUGGAUGAAGAUAUUAAGUAUAUAUCUACAUAAAUAUUGUGUUCGAAUAUUUAACAAACGAGAGGUAGUUUAUGGUAAUAGUUUUGUAGCAGUGUAGUCUCAUUUUUUUUCCAUCGGAGACUCCACAAAAAAAGAGACAAAUUCUCAUAAAAAUUAAAAACAUCAAACACCAAUCCUGUAAACUCUAAUAAUCAUAGCCAUUGAUCUAUUAUAUUUUCUAAAAAGUUACCCACCACUGUCAUUAUGAAAAUAUUCAAAAAUAAGCUCUAAACCUAUAUCUAAAUUACCGAGCUCAACUAUUAUAAAAAAUAAUCUAAAGUAACCCCAUCAUCUUCAUCCAAUUUACUAAUACACAUAAUUAUAAAGCAUAACUUAAAAUGUCAUUCUAAAAUUUUAUCUAUGUUACCCAUGUGUGUCAUUAUUAAAAAUAACCUAAAGUAAACACCUAAAUAUUAAUCUAAUUAUCUUCAUGUGCAUCAUACAAAAAUAUCAAAAAGUAAACUAAUAUAUGAUUCUAAAUUACGUAUUUAUGUCAUUAUUAAUAUAAAAAUACUAAGUUAAAGUAUAUACACAUGAUGAGUGCCACCAUUUAGACUAUUUAUACAUGUAUGUGAGGAAUCCAUAAAAAAUAUUGGUUUGUAUGCUAAACAUAAUGUAUGGAGGAUUGGAGGUGUGAUACAAAAUGGAAAAAGUACGAAUAUGGAUGAAAACGUGCAUAGAGUAAUUAUUGAUUAAAAAUCAAUCACAACUAGACAAAGAUAGAUAUAUAUAUAUAUCUAUAUAAGUAUUAUGUUGAAGUAUUGAAAAAUAAGAGAGUGGUAGGUAAACAAUUUUGAUUAUUAGCUAGGAGUUUAAUUUUUAAAUAAUUUUUAAAUACAAUAUCAUCUAAAAACAUUAGCCCGUGCGGGAGCACGAGUUGAUGGACUAGUACUUUUUAAUGAUCAAACUUUUGUUGGCACAAACCGUAGACUCCAAGAGAAAUUAGCGGUCAAAGUGUGUUCUUGAAGACCAAGCCAAACCGUACACAGGUCGAGCUAGAAACUCAAUAUUUUCUUGUUAGGGAGGAAAUAAGCCACUGUUUCGUUUAUUUUCGCAUGUUUGACACGAAAUAGGAUUGUGAGAACGCGUGUAGUUCGUGGAAUAAAAUAAACGUGAGCGUGCCAGUGUACUAAGUACACGAAUAAAAAACAAGUAGGGAAACGAGUAUUUCAUUAAUUCUUUGAUCAACAAAAUUACAAGUUCCCUUCAUAUAGCGCGCGCCAUAGCCUCAUGUGAGGGACAUCUGAUUCAAGUAAUGCGGUCUUCUGAUUUCCGGGGCUUUAGAAAACUCCCAGUUAAUUACUCCCCACGAAUCAAAUCCGUGGGACACCUCCGAUUAAGCUGCGCGUGGUCGUCGUUUUCGUCUUCGCUUCACUUCUUCCAUGCAGAUGAAUGAUGGUGGUAGGUACAGGCGUAGGCAUGAUCCACGGCCUCGUCGGUCCGUGGUGCCGUUUAUAGCGCGGCCAUUGCUGAUGCCGCGGCCGCCUCGUCGUCCGGGCUCGUCGGACAGGGACGACGUGUAAAGUGUUGUUGGUUGAUGGUACAUGCAUGAGGAAGAGGAGCGUGGCGUCGGCGACGUCCUAUCGCAGCUUCGUGGUGUACGUAUACGUAUAAAUCAUGGGCCUGAACUUGUGGCCUAGUACUUUGAGGAUAAGCUUGAACGGGCAGCGCUUCUGUAGAAUAGCUAGGCGGCCUAGUAGCAGCUCCGGCAGACAGACCGCGGCAACAUGUACAGUGGGUGGCGAGAUGGUCGUGACGACAGCGGCGGCAGGCUCUUGAAGGCCAGCAUCACUUCUUCGCUACAGCUAUUUGAUCACUUAAACAACAGGAGAUGCAGUGCACACAUAUACGUGCGUGCAUGCAUGCAUGGCUCAUAUAUCACGUAGGUGGCCUAGUGGAUGAUAUCUUGAAGUAGUCUUCACCAACUCUCCGGCCGUCCGGCGGCGCGACGGACUCGACUAGGCUUCAGUGGACAAACGCGAGCAGCUUCAUGGACUCGUGGUCUCCAGAUGUGAUUGCUUCAGUGAGUGCCGCGGCCAGUGUCAGGAGCUAGUCGGUCUCCAUGAAUGACCACUCCUAAAUAAAUCGUCUCUAGUACUGGUCCAUAACCCCCUUGGUAUCGUUGUGCAACCGGUACUAGCAAUCCGAUACUAGAGGAGGUCCUUUACUACCGGUUGUAAUAACCCGUACUAAAUAGUAUUAAAAAAUAAAAAAACAAAAUCCUCUCGCCAGCUCCAGCCGCCGCCGCCACCGGUCCCACCCUCCGCCCGCCGCUUGCCCCUGCCUCCUGCCGCCAUCGGCCCCGCCCUCCGCCCGCCACUUGCCCUGUCAGCCCCGGCCUCCCUCCGCCUCCUCCUCCUCCUCCCCCUCCUCCGCCUCCACCCCGCCUCCGCCUCCUCCGCCCCCGCCGCCGGCCUCCGCGCCCGCUCCUACCCACCCGCCGCCACUCCGCCGGCUGCUCCCCGACGCCACCUCACCUCGCCCCGCCGCUGCUCCUCACCGCCGGUGAGGGGCGCGCGGAGGGGGGGGGGAGGGGGGCAGAGGGUGGCACUGCGCCGUGCUGCUGCGAGAGGACAUGAAGUGUGGGGAGGAGAGGGGAGAGGAGAAGACGGGAGAGAGAGAUAGAGAAUGGGCGAACGGGGGCAGCAGGAUAAGAAUUAUUGCUGAGAGAGAUGGAGAGAGGAGGGAGGUAACCCUUUAGUACCGAUUGGUAGGAAUAUUAAAUUUGACCGGUACUGAGAUCAUGGACGAGAAGUCAUUUUUCUAGAAAUGGACGUUGAGCUGGUCCUCGUAGUGUACGCCGGCCGCUUCACGUACAACGCCCGCGACGAGGGUGCCGAAGUCGACCUCGGGUGCACGUACGGUGGACUCUGGCAUAGGGAGGUCCACGUCUCCGGCGACGUCUAGGCAGAGCCGCUAGGCCGCGGCACCGACGUGCUCGCCUUGUCUAGCCGGGCAGUCAUGGAGCUUGGAAGGGAUGAGUGAGAGCACCGCAGCGCACGUCGGACUUCUCUACAUCAUCUCCGGCAUGCAAGCCACACGGACGGACCAACCUCGUCGAUGCCUAUGUUUCCCUGUCCAUGCAUGAAACUGAAAAGGGAGAAAAGGAUUAAUGUAUAUAACCACCUGUGCCGGCCAUGGCCAUCUCCUCCACCCGGCAACGACUUCCUGCACUACCGAAACAGUAAGUUUGCCGAGUGCCCGAAGUACUCGGCGAAGACCUAAAAACACUCGGCAAACAGUUUGCCGAGUGUAACACUCGGCGAACAGGACUCGGCGAAGUUUCCCGAGUGUCGAACGUCGGGCACUCGGCAAAGGCUUUGCCGAGUGGCAAAAAAACACUGGGCAAUGAUUUUUUUGAAAAAAUAAAAAAACAAGCUAGCGCCACCGCCGGCCGCCGCCACCCUUGCCUCCCGUCGCCAAGCCACGAACCCCGCUGCCACCAGGCCAUCACUCUUGCCUCCCGCCGCCACGCCACGAAGCCUGCCGCCAUCCACCAACAGCGUCGCCGCCGCGCCACCAGCCCCCGACGCUACUGGAAGCCCACCGUCGACACCACUCGGAGCCGCCGCCGACAUCUCCCGAAGCUCCUGGAUGGCUCCGUGGCCCGUGCCGCUCCUAGCCCGCGUCGCCCCUGGCCCGCCCCAGAUUCGAAGGGGAGAGAGCUGGGGGCCGCUGGAUCCACGCCGGAGGGGAAGAAGGGGGCACGGAUCCGGCCGGAGGGGAGGGAGCCGGGGAAGGAGAGGGAGGGCGGCGGCGGGGGCUGGCGCCGGACGCCGGGAGGCUACGGGGGCCAGCGCCGGGCGGCGGCGGGGGCCGGCGCCGGGCGGUAGUGACAGGGAGAGAGGGAGGUGGGGGGCGGGUCGGGGUGGCAGAGCAAUGAAGAGGGGCCGGAUGCGGUGCUGGUCGGACUAUAAGUCCUGAGCGGUUGGGAAAAAAAAUCACCGAGUGUCCUAGGUGUGACACUCGGUGAAAGGUUUCUUUGCCGAGUGUCUAACCUAGGACACUCGGCAAAGCUAUUUUAAAUUUUUUUAAAAAAUUAUCCAACAGUUUCAAAAAAUUAUCAAAAAUUCACAUGAAAUAAUAUAUAUUCUUUACUGACUAUACAAAAAGUUUUAUAGUCAAAUCAAAACUCGACCGUAAUUUUGACUCGAAAUCUUAUCCAAUCCUUCUCAACGUUACUAUUCUUUUUCUGAAAUGCUUCGGUUUGUAAACAUCGUACGUGACGAAAUGUGCAAAAUAUUCUCAAUUUUUUUCCACAGCCUCCACGUAUGAUAUCAUCACAUCAUGACAAAUCUCAUGAUUUUCAGACUUUGCUUGUUUUUUUUACAAUUUAAAAAUACUACUGCCACACGUUCGUGGUCGUGUUUCCUGAACAAGAUGUUUGAAAUUUCUUUUCAUUUCACGGGUCAGGUCUCAAAUUGGGCCAAAUAACAUGAAUAUCAUUUUUCUACUCAUUUUAUUCUAUAAUUUGAAUCACUUGCGGUUCAAAUUUGACUUAUACCAAAAAUUUUCUUGAAAUGCAAUUAAUUAAAUAAAUAAAUAUAGCAAACAAAUUCAAAAAUAUACCAAAUUUUAACAUGGAGUACCACAUGUUGUAUGUGGGGAGUAGAAAAAUUUCAAGGUGGAAAGAGGAAAAAAAUUUAUUGUCUUGCCGAGUGUCAAAAAAACACUUGGCAAACCCCACUCUUUGCCGAGUGUUUUUUUUGACACUCGGCAAAGUCCAACGUUUGCAGAGUGUUUUUUUUUUGCCGAGUGUUCUUAGCCCGACACUCGGCAAAGAGCUUGUUUGCCGAGUGUCCGAAAAGAAACACUCGACAAAAAUAAAACACUCGGCAAAUUUAAGGUUUCCGAUAGUGCUGCCCACCUGGCGUCCCUCCUGCCCGUGGACGCGCACCAGCGUGAGGGGUCUUCUCUUCUUUCUUGGUUGCUUGUGUGUAUCUGGAUGAGCGAGAGAGAGAGAGAGAGGGAGAGGGAGAGAGUUUGUGAGGUGUGUGUGCGCAGCGAGAGGGCGAGAGCUGCCUCUUCUUGCCUGCGUCUGUCUGUGUCUCGUGUGUCCGCGUCUUGUCUCUUCCGUCAAGUGAAUGGAUCCCUCCUUUUAUAGGCCAGGGGAAGGCGUUUGGUAGCUAGGCAGGGACGCUGAGCGCGUACGUCUCGCGCCCAGGCGCCAACUAUCUUUUCUUGUAUACACGCACGUCCAGCACCGUCAGGCUAAUUGCCUGUUGCCUUGUGUGCUUCAUUUCUUUCUUUCUUUCUUUGCAUUUUUCUUAUAAUCUCUUUCCUGGACCAGAGAUCGAUCGUGAAUGAAACCUUCCAUUUACUCGUCGGACAGUCAUAUUUUGUUUCCAUCGACAGAGAGACCUAACCCUUGGUGAUUACGAUUAGAAAACCUUCCAUUUGACAAGAGGCGGCAUCGGUUAUUUAGGAAAGUUGAAGACGGUUCCGGGCGUGACCCCCUGCCGAGCGGGCCUUCGCGUUCAUCGUGAGGCCCAUCAAAGAAAAGGUACCAUAGCAAUAUCAGGUAGAAAGGAUACGUGUGUCCGUGUCCUCCACGUACACAGUACACUUAUACGUACAUGUAUGUGAUUAACCAUGCAACGUCACCUCUUUGAUUGUCCGGUGGAUCACUGUGUUUUGGCUUCAGCCAGUAAUAAAGAGACGAUGUCUCACACGUAUACACUGGCCGUGGAUACGUACUCCUGUUAGUCACGUGUGUGCCUGCUAGCAACCACCUUAUCUUAGCAAUUUAAAACACCAGGGUCUGGAUGCGUACAAAUUGCAUGGACACAGCCUGCUUGCACGUGGAUACGUAUCACUUUGCAUGCUAGUCCCUUUGUUACCGUGCUAACCAUUGUACAUACUGGUGACGUAAAAAACCCGUCAAACAGGACAAUAGUGCAAAUUUUCAAACUUUACCUGAAUAUGAAUUUUUUUUGGAAAAUUUGCUGACAUAGGGGGCCGGGCCACUGUCCGCCCCACUUAUAUUUUGGAAUGGAGAAAAUAUUAUUUAGGGGGGUUUGGGAACACCCUAUUAAAGUUUAACACCUAUCAUAUCGGAUGUUUAGAUGUUAAUUAGGAGUAUUAAACAUAGGCUAAUUACAAAAAUAAUUGCACAAAUGGAGUAUAAUUCGCGAGACGGAUCUAUUAAGCAAAAUUAGUCCAUGAUUUGAUAAUGUGGUGCUACAGUAACCAUUUGCUAAUGAUGGAUUAAUUAGGCUUAAUAGAUUUAUCUCGCGAAUUAGCACAGGGUUCUGCAAUUAGUUUUAUAAUUAGCUCAUGUUUAGUCCUCCUAAUUAGCAUCCGAACAUCCGAUGUGACACUGUUAAAGUUUAGUAUCUUGUAUCCAAAUACCCCCUAAUAUGCUGAUCAAUAUCAUGAACAUAAGUAUUUGUAUGAAAAUUGAGUUACGGAAAAAAGGACAGGGAGUUAAAGGACAUGUGAGUGUGGGAUGAUCCUAGAAAUGAUAGGUGUGGGUGAAGGGUGAUAGGGUAUAUAACGUUUGCAGCUGUGAAAGUUAUUGAUAUCGUAUCUUACCGCGGUAAACAAAAGAACCUUCAUCUUGGAACAAUUGUAACAAACGGAACAUUAUUGUAGCACUAGUUAAUAUACCUUUUUGCACUAAUCAUUUCUUUUUGUGAAAUUCCAUUGCUCUUUGACCUAACAUCAAUCAAACGUGUAAGAAAAUCAAAUGGCCUUGUUUUCUGUCCUACAUCACACAAUAGAUACUAGCUUAGAUGGUACAGUGUGUAGUUAGUUGUAUAGUUGGAUAUGCAAGUGACGGUGAGCAACCUGUGCUUUUAGCUUUCCCCGGUACUAACUGUGACAUUCUAGGCCAACUAAGGAUGAAUUGAAUCCACUAGAGGUUCAUGUGAAUGGCAUGGCAUGUGUGUAGAUAAUAGUCCCACCUUACUAGUUGAGGGUGGGUUUCAACAACAAGUGCCAAAUGUAUUCCAACCCCCGGGUUAACCAUUUUACGCGAAGUGAGGACGAAAGCGUAAGCGCGGUUAAUGCAAGUGCGUGUUUUACUCUACGUGCGAGUAGGACUAAGCCAUAUUUGGGACUGUGGCGUUACAAUUGGUAUCAGAGCUAACCCUCACGGUUACACAGGCGUGUGCGUGCUAGGGGCGCGAACAUAUGGCACAUGGCGUGUGUGGGUCCUGUGUGGUCACACGGCAUGGCAUAUUGUGACGGAUCCACCUCGAAUUAGCCUGAUUAAGGCACGGUCAAGUCGCCUAACAUGCGACACUCAUGCCUUAGUCAAGCUAACACGAAGUGCCGUCGGAUUUCAUCCGAUUUGACCACUUAACAGGACCAAAUUAGCAAACUCACCCGAAGGUGAGCGGUUGCAGAGAAUACAACAGGUCCACCAAAAGAUUAACAAGUUGAUACACACUUGGUUGCAAAUCAGAGUUUAACAAGUUCUGAAGAAAACAACAGAAGGUAAAACAAGCGGAAGCUAAAUGUAGGGGUCGGACGUCCUUGGUGAGGCCAACCAAGACAUCAGUGAUCCCCUUCCUCGCCAUCCGAGGAGGGAUCCCACUCGACCGUCCAACCCGGAGGGAGCUGGGGCGGCCAAGUGCCAACAGGAACAAGCUCAGGAGCGGCGACUUCACCUGAAAAGAAAGCCACAAACAAGGUUGAGCUGCUAAGCUCAACAAGACUUAACCGACCGGCGGUAAACUACUCCACCACUUCUAGAUAUGCAAGGCCCUUUGGCUGAGGGGCUUUGUUUGCCAAAAAUGACUACAGUGGGUCCUUGCUUUCAAGUUUUAGCUCAAGUUCUAAGUUCAUUAAUCAGUCUAUGUUGGCAACUUACUCUAAACAACCAUAGUUUUCCAACAACAAAGUAUAGAACAAGCAUCGGGUUCAUAGCAUCAUCAUGUUCCAUCUCUUUACUCAGUGUAGUAUAGCGAUCAAGCAGUCUCAAACUGAGAGAGGCAGACGAAUCGAUUCGAGUUUCUUAACCAUGCAUGGCGAACCUAAUCUCACGACAUCUGCGCACCACAAAGGUCGCUUCCUGUGUCGACCGUCCCCAUCAAUUCCCAGGCACAUGUCAGGUCCAAAUUUCCCUUGGCAUGCAAUGCUCCACAGUCCCGGUCUCUACCGUACUGUGACCGCACUUGCACCCACAUGAUGCACCAUGGGAACCUCGUUCCAGGGACAGCAGGGGUAUAAGCCACGCCCUAGUUCAAUCAGGUACUAGGCUUCCCCAUCCCAUACUAGGUAUGAGAUUAGUACUUUCAAACACUUGAUCACGAACAUCAACACUUUUCGACCUUAGCAACUUCAUAUAGACAGAUAGGGCAAUCCACCGACCACCAAAAGAGUUCACCAGACCCUGCCCCGUCCAUCGUCCUUAUAGUUGAAACCAGAAGGAGAACAACGAACUCCUACAACUCGCGAGUGAUAGGAAAUCACUCGACUUUUACCGAGUCCUAUUAAGCAAUGCAACUACUCGGAUUUCUCAGACUAGUGUUCAGAUCAAGGGAACUAAGUCAUGCAUCUAUGGUUUCAAACAACUCCUGUACUUAAAUGCACAUACAAACAAGGAAGGCAUGUGUAAGUUUAGAGACAAAAAGGUUUCAUGCUCCGGGGCUUGCCUUCAAGCGGAGGGGAGGAGAACUGGUCUUCAGAGGGCAAAGCUACAGCUCCUGCGGUCGGCGGCUCAGCUACUGCUCCGUCUUCUGGCACCGGAUGCAGCUCGUAGAUGCCGUCGGCGAGAUUCAACUCUACACGAAUGCAAAUGCAGGAGUUAGCACUUAGACGGUUAUUUCAACAGCAACACUUGCAAGUUUUAGCCCAGAAACUUGUAGCAAAGCUACGGAAAAAGUGGAGAAGUUCACUUGAGUUGGUGGAGAGCAAGGUAAAAGGGUCGGAUGGGAAGAAACUUAUGAUCUGACCCUUAGACUAAAGAAUAGCUGUGCUGGGGGUCCUCAGACUUAACGCAGAGAAGUCCCCGAUUUUUACACAUAUACCCUCGGGUCAAGGAAAAAGAUACAGCCGAGUCCUCGGGCGAGGUGGAAAAGGGUCGACGAAACAGACAGGGUUGGGCGAGACGGAAAAGGGGUCAGACAAACAGAGGGGGUCGGGCGAGACGGAAAAGGGGUCGGACGAACCGAGAGGGUCGGGCGAGACGGAAAAGGGGUCGGACGAACAGAGGGGGUCGGGCGAGACAGAAAAGGGGUCGGCAGCUUACCUUCGGUUUACAGGUGAAGCUUUGGGAUCAGGAAGGCGCGAACUUGGGCAGCGGCGAUGUCCGGCGGUACUCCGGCGGCGGCGGUGCUUCUUAUGGACAACAAGCAAGCUCUAGCACAGCGCGGAGGAGUAAGCGGCUAGGUGGAUUGGGAAAGGCGGGUGUUGAUCGGAGAGGAGCGUUCCUCAGGAACUUAGGUGGCAAUGCUCGAGCACGAAACAAAGGAACAAGGUGGUAAGGCAGUGAUGGCGAAGGGAACUCUGGUAGGGCUCGGGCGUUCCCUUUUAUAGCUGCGCGGGAAGAGAGAGAGCUGGAGCAACACGAAGACCAGGAAGGAACAUAAUGGAGUGCGCUGCCAUGGCGGCGAUUGAGCAGCGUUGGGCGGUGGAACAGGACUUCGGAGAUGAUGCCUUCGGCCAUUGGGCAUUGGAGUCAGGGUGGCGCAGGCGCGGUUUUGCCGGUGGUUGCGGUUUGGCGGAGGCGGGCAUCGUCGUGCGGCGGAUCUGAUGGGUGUGACAGGGGAAACGGUGCUAUAAGCGAGGUUGCAACCGGUGAAAAGACAGGCGGGCGGCGGCUGCGCGGGCGAGCACGAAACAGCGGUCUGUCGUGGCACAGUUCUGACAAGGCGAAAAAAGGAGCUGUCGCGGCCGGGGUCGGUAUUGGCGAUGGAGGAAUCGUCGCGUAGCGCAGUCCGGGGUGGCGCGACUGUGGAGAGGCGGCGGAAAAACCGGAAGGCAUCGGGCCUUGUAGCUGGGGGUCCGGCGCGGUGAUGAUGGGCGUGAGCCGCAAGGGCGCGAGCGAGACGGGGCGCUGCAGAAAGGUUGCAGAGGGGCUUCCGCUGCGAUUGGGGAGGAAGGCGCGGGAAUCCAUCCGGUCGUGGCCGGCGACUGGGCGGAGCGGCGGAGGUCGGAGGAGUUGAGCCACACGGCGGAGAAGCUCUGAAGCGGGUAUGCCACUCGAGUGCGUCUGCACCAGAAGAUCGGGGAAAAGAUUUGCGGAUUGAAAGGAGACACUGUGGGUGUGACUUUGAAGGAUCUGGCGGGGUGGGUUGGGGGGUCUUCAGGGGUCGGAGCUGGGAACCGGCGGAAAGGGGUUGGGUUCUCAGGGGUCGGGACCGGAACUGGAGGUUGAGCACUUAAGCUCGGGGAAGCUGAGUCAGCGGAUUAGGGACUCGGAUUAGAUUAACUCGAAAGAUUUGGGAUCGGUCGUCACACAUAUGUGCCGGCACUAGAUGCAUGGACGUGUGCUAAGAGGUAAAGUUCCUGGUCAAUUUCCCCAGUGUGUGCGGGUAUGUUGCUGACGAGGACGUCGGGUCCUUUAGGCCAACUAAGGAUGAAUUGAGCCCAUUAGAGGCCCAUGUGAGAUGCAUAGCAUGUGUGUGGAUAAUAGUCCCCCUUGCUAGUUGAGGGUGGGUUUCACCAACAUAUAAACCCAAGUGCCAAAUACAUUCCAAUCCCCGAGUUAACCCUUUUACGCGAAGCGAGGAUAAAAGUGUAAGCGGGGUUGAUGCACAUGCGUGUUUUACUCUGCGUGCGAGUAGGAGUGAGCCAUAUUUGGGACUAGGGCGUUAUAAUUUGAUUGUCAUGACCCAAAGUUGCAAAACAAGUUUAACAUGUUAACAUGAGCAUCAUUUGUGCAUAAUUAAGCAUCAUGGCCAUGCAUUUGUUUAAGUUCAAAUAAUAAUUGUUUAUUGUUGAAAUUUAAACUUGUGAAGCAACUCAAGUUUAUGCUGUGCAACUGUGCAUCUUGUUAUUUUAUUUAAAUACUAGAUGCAAUUUGAUGAUUUUACAAUAUUUUUACUUAAUUUUUCAGUGAUGUUUUCCCAUGUUAAAAAUUUGUUUAAUUUUCAAUUUUGGCUAUUUUCUUUUGUCAAUUGUAUGACAACUUGAGUAGUUUUUGAGGUGAUUCUUAUGGAAUUGUGUUCUUUUCAAUUUUAUCUUUCAAAUGAGUAUUUUUGGAGAUUUUUGGGGUGCCUGUAGCUGGGUCGUUUGAGUGGGGAAUGUUAAACGGUUUGAAAAUCGGUCGGGCCCACGUGUCACCGCCUCCUUCCUCUUCUCCCGUGCCUGCACACCUGCCCGUUGGCCAGCGCCGGUGGUGCCUACCGCACUGCCAUGGCCGGACUGGCCACCGUGGCCAAGGCCACGUGAAAUCCCAGCCGUACCCUCGCCCUGCUCCUCCUUUAUAUGCCGGCGUCGGCGCUUCCCCAAAACCUACCCCCCUCCUCCACCAUUGCCACCGCCACUUCUCUGACCCGAGCUCGACUGUUGGCCAAGAAAAUUCUAGUGCCCCCUCCACCUCCACCCAAGAGCCGUGACCCACUUCAUGCUCGUCAUCCUCGGCCGGUCAUCCCUCCAGUUCCGGCCACUAGUCGCCGGGGAUUUGAAAUCCCGCAACCGCCCGAGCUCCAACUCCACCGCAACCACCUCACCGUCACCGGUCCGAUUCACAGCCGUGGGUAGGUAUCCGACCGAUUCCUCAUGGCCAAGGCUUCGUCAAGACAUCCCGCAUCCAUUUUGCCGCUCAUCGGCCGCUCUCCCUCGCCGUGCAGUGCUCCCGGUGUCGCUCCCCAUCAGCGCCCGUCCACCCCUAUCCGCCGCCUGCCGCCGCCUCUAGAGCCUACUGUGCCACCUCCUGCUCGCCGCUGGGCUGCCGCCAGUAAACACCGCUACAAGAGGGAAAAGCAGCCUAUGCUGCCCGUGCCUGUCUGUGUGUGCGCGUGAGGAUGUGUUGUGGGAAGAAGAAAGAAGGAGAGGGGGGUAUGGAGAAGUUUCAGGGACUUAUGUGCGAGAAUCAAUAGAUCCGAGGGUUUGAUUUGCAAGAUGACAUCACUUUUGUUUUGUUUCCUCGAUUUAAAUAGCUGCAAACUUGAAACAUGCAUAGAAAUAUGCAGAAAAAUGGUAAAACUAUGGAACUUGUUUUGUUGAGUUCCUGAUGAUAUCUAGUUCAUUUCAAAAAUGAUUAUGUGCAUGUUCCUGUUGUGUACCUGGUGCUAUGAUUUAAUUUGUCUAAAGAGUUGUUAAAUGCUUUGUACAUCAUGUGGUGGUCCAAAAAUUGUGAAACAAAUUUUUUUAGCUUCCAUUUAUCAUGUAUGUUCCAGAUCUGCAACUUGUAUUAGUGGAAUCUAUGGUUUUCAUGCUGUUUUAAAUCUAAUGCUUGUUUGCUUUCUUAAUAUUGUUAUUUGCGUGAUAAUUUGUGAAAAAUUGAUAAAGUGUUGAAACCACUUUUGUCAGCCUUUUAUUUCCACAUAGAAUGCAGGAAAAGUGAUGCUGAUGCUUUUCUGGUUGUUUUACAAGCCUUCUAGGAUUUAAUGUGCUUAAUGGUAAUUUGUCUUGUUUAUUUUAUAUCUCCACAUUAAAAUUUGAUUUUGAUGUGAAUCGAAUUCUCAUGAUUUUGUAUUGUUGUCUUCUGUCAGUGCAAUUUAUUUCAUAAUUAUUUCUCAACAAAUGAUCCUAAUCUUGCAAUUUCAUGCUUGCUUUUGGCUUAUCGUGCAAAAUAGUUUCUCUCAUCGUUCUUGUAUGAUUUUGUAUUAUUUGUAGCUAGAUUGUUCUGUUAACAAUUUAUUUCUUACUAUUUCUUUUAUUUUUUCAUGUAUUUCAUGAGCAUUUGCACUCAUAGCAUCAUCUCUAUUGCAUGCAUGCAUUUCAUUCUUUUUAGAGAGCGAUUUGCUGGAGAACGUGACCUUUGAGCCCGAAGCCGAGGCCGAAGUAGAGGUUGAGGUUGAGCCCGAGGAAAAUCAAGGCAAGCAGCUAAGCAUAUUUGUCUCCUUCUUUUUGAAAUGAAAUUGUUACUAUGUAUCGCUAUGGGUUGCAUGUGGGUUAUCUUAUUGCAUUAUUAGAACCUAUAUCUUUAUUAUUAUGGUCUCCCUUGCUUGUUAUCAUAUCCCUUGUCGCUCGAGUAGUAUGGGUUAUAAUAAAUUAAUCUUGUAAUUUUUUAGCCAUGCUUAGUCAUAGAAGGAUCACUUGGUAAGGGAAUGGUUAUAGGUUUAUCAACUCUGAUUCUAAUAUGGUUCUUUAAUGUUGUUGAAUAAAUGAACAUGAUGGUUAAUUGGAUACGAGAUUUGAGCGGUGUGUAGAGUCACGAGAAUGGAGUCUCGGUGACAUAUACCGCUUGAGUCGAUUAAGGACCGUCCGUUGUUGAUGUUGGUUUGAGCACCCUUUUUCAUGCUACCACAUGUUCCCGAAUGGACGAAUAAGCCUAAUAUCUUACUUGACUCGCUCUAAUAUGCACGAUCCUAGAUGUGUGGUCCUUGGACUAUGUAGAGGAGCCUAGUAGUAUCCCCGGUGGACCUAGGUCGUCCUCCACACAAGUUAGGCGUGUUUUACUCAUACUUUGGGGUGGUUUGGAAAGGGUUGGCAUGAGUACCCCCUUGUGCACCAUUGAUCGGGUGUGCGAGCCGCAAGGUCCUCGAGUCGUGUGGGUAAAGAGUACAUCCUUGCAAGGUUAAAUCAAUUGGAAUUGCCACGCUCUCGGUUAUGAGCAAGCUCAAGUCCCAUGAAUUCAUCAUAGAGUCAUCGGAUGCUUUUAAUAUUUGUUCAUAUAUUUAUACUCUAUGUUACCAUGUUGAUGUAAUUGUUUUCAACUAAAUUUUAAAGUGGGUUUGGGAAAGAUUAAUAAAACUUGCUAGCUGUCCAUAGGGUGUUAUUCACAUGCUUAAGGUCAAAAAUUAAGGAUAGGAUAAGUUAGACUUUUGUCCAUAGGGUGUUAUUCACAUGCUUAAGGUCAAAAAUUAAGGAUAGGAUAAGUUAGGCUUUUAUCCAUAGGGUGUUAUUCACGUGCUUAAGGUCAAAAAUUAAGGAUAGGAUAAGUUAGGCUUUUGCAAAUUUACUUAACAUUAAAGCCUUACUUCUUGUUCACCCUUAUGCAUGAUCCUUGUUAUAUAUUUGCGUAAGACUUGCGAGUAUCUUUUUGUACCCAUGUUGCUAUCGUUCACUGAAGUUGCAGGUGAACCGAAGGCCGUGUUUGGUCACUUUUAACCUGCCGAUCCGAAGGUGGGUGAUGAGUGACUAGAACGGUCGUUUGUUGCUUCGAUGGUGUUCUUGGGCAACUACACCAUCAUGUCUUUUGCGUUUAUCUAUCGUAUCCGCUGCGUAGAUGUGCUCUUUUCAUGGGUUUGAUGUUGGAAAAACUUAAACCUUAAUGUUUAAUCUCAUGUUGUUGUUGUCGUGAGUCCAAGACUUGUAAUUUGGAGCUCAUUUAAUUAAAUUUCAGAUUUUAAUUGUUGAACUUGUGUAAGGUUUAAAAUUGUUCUUUUAUGGUUCAUGUGGUGUUGUGCAAUUUGUACGGUUGGUGUUGCUCGAUCUUGGGCAUGUUGUGAAACACCUACCGGGACUACCGGAUUUGUCUCUUGUUAUGUUGAAUUACACCGAGUCUUGGAUCUCUAGGUGUGGGUUGCCACUUGACACAUCGCAAGACGAGUAAGUGUGGGCUCUUAUCCUAUUCGCAUGACCGCCAAUUCACUUAAUUCGAGAUCAAAUUGGCCGGUUCUCACACUAACCCUAAAAGUUGAAUCUACCUGGGACAUGAAUUGAAUUCUAGAAACAAAUAAAUAUUCCUGGAAUGUAUCUGACGUAGAAACAUAUACAAUGAGAAACAUCUUGAAAAUUCCAACUCCAUAAAGUCUUGUUCGGAUACUAGUGGAUUGAAGUAUAAUGGGAAGGAUUGGAGAGGAAAUUAGUUCAUUUUAGACGACUCAGUCCCCUUUAUUCCCUUCCAAUCCUUUUCUAUCCAAUAAUGUGGAAGAAUAGGUGUAUUGAAGUCUAGAGGUAAAAGCCUCUCCCCUGUUUGAAAAUACUCAUCCCUGGUAUGCGACAAACAUGGGCCACAUAAUCACCGCUUCAACAAUUUAUAGCUUAUACCAUGUAGUAAUAAUUACAUAAUGCACGUAGUUGUGACAGCGACAUAGUACCCCCGAAUAUUUGCUUAGAUCUGCAGCAUUGAUAAUAUUCGAAAAGUCACAUAUCAAUAUAGUCAACUCAAGUGUGCCACGUUUGAAAUCGUCAAUUGCAUCACAUGGGCAACAGGGGGAAAUGAAACUACUAUACUUUUCUGAAGUCAUGUCAUCCUCAUAGAGUCUUGGACAUAACAGGAAACAACAACCAAUAAGCUCCGCAACUUCGAACCAUCAUUUUUUGGUUUGUUUUUUCAGAACUAUUUGUGUGCGUGAUGUGGAUGCAGCUUUUUAAUAAGGAUCCCUUAGGUGGAGUUUCACCCGGCUCCAGCUCCACCACUGUAGCGCGUGCUAUUGUAGCGUCAGUGAAGCCGGAGCCAGUGAAGCCAAAAAAUUGUGACUUCAGCUAUUUCUUAGUUUGUUUUAGUAAGAGAGAGAAGAAGGGCUCCGAUGAAAAAUAGCGUUAUAGUAUCGCAAAUAGUGCUUAAGUUAGAGAAGCCGGAGCACCCCAGAGCUCCACCAAAAGAACCUCUUAAGUAUUUGUUGAAAGCAUUUCAUAUUGUAGCGGUUGGGAUUUUAUUUAUUACAUCAUCCAAAAAAGUAAGCUCUGCAACCUGUAGACCGUUUAUGAUGCUCAAUUGCGACCACGAAGGAAGGUCAGUGUUAGAGUUUGUAUUAGGUACAUCCAAAUAUAUCUAGUUUAGGAUUAAUCCCGUGAUAAUCUAUUAUCAUUAGGAGAUAUUACUCGACCUCUAAGACAGGAAUUUUAUAUUAAAACCCCACUACCGGAAACACGACGUUUGCCGAGUGCCCCAGGCACUCGACGAAGGCCCAAAAACACUCGGCAAAGAGUUUGCCGAGUGCAACACUCGGCGAACCGGACUCGGCGAACUUUCCCUUGGCAAACAGUGGAUUUGCCGAGUGUCAAACGUCGGGCACUCGGCAAACGCUUUGCCGAGUGCCAAAAAACACUCGGCAAAACCAAACACUCAGCAAAAAGGCGUUGACGGACUGUCACGGUAACGGCGCCUUUGCCGAGUGCCAGACGGAAGAACACUCGGCAAAUGUUGACGUUUUGCCGAGUGCCUCCGUCCCGACACUCGGCGAAGAGUCUAAAUUUUGCCGAGUGCCGUCUCACAGACACUCGGCGAAGAUUCAAAUUUUACUGAGUGUCGUGCCCAUGACACUUGGCGAACUUUUGGUGUUUGCUGAGUGUCAGUUUCGUGGCACUCGGUGAACUUUUGGUGUUUGCCGAGUGUUGGUUUCGUGGCACUCGGCAAAGAGGAUGCUUCCGCCAGAUUUUUAUGAUGCCUUUACCAAGUGUUGUGUCGAAACACUCGACAAAGUAGUCUCAGAAUAACAAAAACUGGCCCGUAAAACACUCGGCAAAAUGUCCUUCCACCGCUUGUAAAACAGAUUCGUUACGUAUAAAGGACCUCUCAAAAAACAAUCACAGAAGCAUCACAUGCAUAUAAAUUGCAUCACAGGCGUAUAGAUUGCAUCACAAGCAUCAUAAGAACACAAAAUAAUAUUCAGAAGUACAUAUAGGUUCUAGUCUAAACAAGUAAUUCACAAGUUUGCUUAACACAAUAGUCAUUCAAACAAGUCACUGAGGAGGAUGUGUAGGUGGCCACUGCCCCCAAGAUGAUUCUGCAUUGGAUGCCGCCGAUUGAUUCUGCACAAAGUUAAAGAGAUUGCAUUAGUCACUUUUCUAGUGUAAGUUUCUAGUGCCUGUAGUUUCUAGUUUAAUUCUACAUUGAUUGUAAGGUUGAGAGUGACUCACAGGAGUAGCUGCAGGAGGUGGAGGUGGCGGGAAUAGGUUCGGUGGCAUAGGUGGUGGAGAUUGACCUAAACUCUGAAAAAUACUCUGCAUGUAAUGGAACAUCGACUCCGUCCUUUGCCUUUCUAUCUGUCGAUCCGCCUCGAUCCUCGCCUCUAAGUCCUCCCGUUGCUUCCGUUCUACUUCCACCUGGGCCUACAAUAUUUCAUCCCAAUGUCUUAUUGCAAAGCAAAAGGUACAUAAAAAUCAACGAACGAUGAAACAAAUAGAAAUAACCUGUAGAGCCUACAUCUGUAACUGUGCAGUGGUCGGUCAUGCCCGUAUCGCGGGGCUAGAGUCCGUGCUCCUUGCUCGGAUUUGGGAGAGACUGGGAGUACUGGCAGUGUCAAUCACGCUAUUUCCAAUCCAAUACCGGCCAUGCUUCUUGUCUCCUCCUACCCUCAUCACAAUUUCUGCAUCAAUAUCCUGAGAGCUCGGAUCGAACUCUGCCCAUGAACCUCCCUUGCCAUUGAUGUGUACUCGGUGACGCGACUGUGGAUGCUAGGAUGGCUGUACGCCUCGGGUGGGUCCUCCGGGUUGAAGUCGAUGUCGGCCGUCGCCUUGCCCUUUUUGGACAUAACCCAUGCCUUGAACCGGGAGCAUUCCUGGCUAUCAUGUGAUGACGUCUGCAGCAAAAAUGCAAAAGGAUUAGAAAGUAUGCAGUAUUGAGUGUGAGAAUAAAGAAAUAAAUUCGCGUAUCCAUUUUUCCUUGUAUUCAUCAAGGCUCAGGCUGCCUUGAUGGUGUGAUGCAUAUGGCAUCUGCAGACGCCACUCCCGGCAAGCAAGGUGGUUCUCCAACUACCCGGGCUGCAACCACACCUCCACCAUUUGUUCCCAGCACCGGAUAGUGCUCGGCACCACCACGGAGGCACCUACAUCAUCAAGUGUGUGACAUAUAACAAAAGAAAUUAAGCAUAAUUAAUCUUAGAAAUAGUGAAUAUUAACUUUCUGUACGUACCGCCAUGAAUUCUUCCUUGGUCAGGUUCAUUGUCCUUGCCUCUUCUUUUUUUGACCUUCAUCCUUCUGAAUUCAGUAUAGAAGUCGAUGAUGGCCUGAACCCGCGCCUCGUAGUGCAUGUCCUUGACGAGCUUCUUGGCAGCUUGUUCAGUGACGGAGGCCACCCUAGCCUCGAAUCCCUCCUGGCAUCUAUAGAAGUCCUGCGUAUAGACACGUUGCAUACAAUUAUUAUUUCAAGAAUGUCUAGCGAAGCUGAUGUAUUAACCAAUGUAGUGCUGCGAAUACUUACCCACAGCUCGGCCUUCACCCGCUCCACCUUGUUCGCGAAUGUCCUGUGGUCACGAUCAUCGACGUCGGCGGCAGCGAUGUAGUGGUCCCACGUGUAGGCUAGCUCCUCCUGUCCGGCGAAGACCACUAGACCAGGGAAGUGUAGCCUACACAAAAGACCAAGGAUGCCGUUGACCUUUCGGUUGUGGCCACCCCCACUGAGCUUAAUCCAACUCCUGCACAAGUAAUUAAUAUAAAUUAUUAGUUUCUAUUGUAAUUUUCAACAUAUCAAAAGUACUGAGAAUAUGUAAAGGAACUUACUUUGCCCCAGUGGGUUGAAUCAGUGGGCAUCUAUGAAGAGGGAUCGGUCACCUCGGGAGGGAUGAGGGACCUCGCAACCAGAUCUUGGACUGCGAAUCCCCUACCUCCUCCCCUUCCUCCCUCUCCUGCUCCUGCUCCUACUCUUCCUGUACCUCCGCCUCGUCACUAGAGGUGUGCGCAAAGGUAUCUCCUCCUCCUCAGACGACCGGACCCCUUUACCCUUUCCUCGACCCCUGCCUCUACCCAGGACAUGUGCCUCCUCUGUUUCCUUGACCAGUGCGUCACCCCUUCCUCCACCCCUGCAUCGACGCCUCCCUCGACCCCUCGAUGCGUCUGACCUUGAAGCUAACCCUGAAGCUGCAGCUUUUAAUUUUUCAUAAAGCGCUGCGAUCUUCCUCGUACCGCCCACCAUUGUUCAAUCACCUGCAAUUACAAAGAGUAAACCAAUCAGCACAGAUAAAACAAAACAUACUUAGGAAGAUAUGCAAAAUAACUAAACAUACUUAAAAAUAACAUGGUAUGACAAAUAAUAAAUAAAUUAGUACGGUCCAUACAUGUAUUAGAAAUAAUCGUCAUGAUCGGAUUGAAGAAGCCAGGAGAAAAGAUCUUCUCCAACUUACAGAGCAACACAGGCGCCAUUCUUUCCAUUUCUGUAACCACGGUCUGAGAUAACUCCUUAGCACAAAGUUGGCGGAAGAAAUUGCUCAACUCCACUAGCAUCUGCCAGACAUGCUCAGGGACAUAGCCUCGAACCAUCACUGGAAGUAGGCGCUCAAGCCAUAUGUGGUAAUCAUGACUUUUGAGCCCGUUGAUUCGCAUAGUAGCUAAGUUCACUCCCCUCUUCAGAUUCACCGCAUACCCAUUAAGCAACAUUAAUGUUUGGAACCAUUCUAAUACCUCCCUCCUUUGGGCCCUCGUCAGGAUGAAAUCGGCCUUAGGCUUUCUCCACGACUUACUAGCUCUGGGAGGCGCCAUGUCUAGCUUUGGUCUGUUGCAUAACCUUGCUUGAUCCACUCUAGCCUUAACGUUAUCCUUUGUGUUUUUAGGAAUAUCCAUGAUUGUACCAAAAAUUGCCUCGGCGAUAUUCUUUUCAGUGUGCAUAACAUCAAUGUUAUGUGGGAGAAGAAGGUCAUCAAAAUAGGGGAGGUUCCACAAGCACGACUUCUGAGUCCAAGCAUGUUGCUUGCCAUAUCCCACAAAACCACCUUCAUGAUUAUUGACCUCAAGAGCGUUUAACUGAGCACGAACCGCGGCUAAGGUCAUCAUCUGCGUUGUGGGGUCGUUAACUACGACAUCUUUCUAAAGUUUUUAAUAUCUCGUCUGAAAGGAUGGUCAGGAGGAAGGAAUUGUCGAUGUUUCUCGAAUGAAGAAUACUUGCCACCCUUCGUCAACCAAAUGAACUUUAAAGAAUCCUUGCAUACUAGGCAUGAGAACUUCCCGUGAACACACCAGCCACAGAAAAUACCAUAUGCCGGCAAGUCAUGCAGGGAGUACUGGUACCAAACAUGCAUCUUGAAGUUUGUCCUUAUAGCUCGGUCGUAUGUCCAUACCCCUUCCUCCCAUGCACGGACCAAAUCAUCAAUCAGAGGCUCCAUGUACACACUCAUAUUAUUCCCCGGGUGUUCUAAAAUUAUCAACGAUAAAAAUAUGAUCUGUCAUUGAAAGAGGACACCAGGGAGGAGAUUGAGGGGGAUAAUGAACAUAGGCCAACAGGUGUAUGGGGCAGCUGUCAUUCCAUAAGGAUUGAACCCAUCUGUUGCCAGCACAACACGUACAUUACGAGCCUCUAGAGCUUUCUCAUGAUAAAUCGCAUCAAACUUUGUCCAGGCUUCACCAUCGAAUGGGUGUACUAGCUUCUCAGUAUUGUAUCGACAUCCGUUUUUGUGCCAUGUCAUCUGUUUCGCGGAUUCUUCACUCAUGUAAAGCUGUUGGAUCCUUGGUAUGAAGGGAAGGUACCGUAGGAUCUUCACAGGGAUUGCAAACUGCUUCUUCUGACCGUCACCAGAGUCUACCUCCAGGAACCUAGACGAUUUGCACUUUACACAGUACUUUGCUUCUGCAUACUCUUUCCUAAAUAAGAUGCAUCCCUUCGGGCAAGCAUGUAUCUGCUCGUAUGGCAUCUUAAGUGCACAAAGAAGUUUUUGUGCCUCAUACAUGUUCUUUGGCAAGAUGUGACCCUCUGGGAGCAGGCUCCCAAAAACUGUCAACAUAAUAUCGAAGGCGUCUCGACUCAAGCUAAACUGGGACUUCACGGCCAUUAGACGUGCAAUGGCAUCCAGUUGAGAAACCUUGGUAUGCCCGUGAAGGGGUUGCUGUGCCGCAGAUAACAUGUCGUAAUAUGCCUUUGCAGUAGCCUCUGGCUCCUCCUCCCUACGUGCUUCAUGAUAGUCAUCUAACAUGUCUCCCACCCUGGCAUCAUCAUCAUAUUCCUCGAUGCGUUGUCUGACGACCUUGUCUCUCCCACGAUCGACUUCACCAUGGUAGAUCCACCUGGUAUAGUCUGACAUAAAUCCGUGCCUAACAAGAAGUUUACCCAUGUCUAGCUUGGUUUGCCGACGCAUGUUUCCACAUUUACUACACGGACACCAAGUAUCUCUUCCUCCUUUGAUCCUUGCAAAUGCCCGUUCCAAGAAAGCAUCGGUCUUGUUAAUCCAUUCAUCGGUCAACGAAUUCUGACUAGAGUGGCCCGUGUACAUCCACUGACGAUCCUCCAUCCUCUAGCAUAUCAGCGAGUAAUAUAAAAAAUCACGUUGCAUCUACACGUUCCUAUACUGUCUAUUAGGUGAAGAUAGGUCCUAAUCCCACCCGAGGAUGUGUAGGUGGGUUUAGUUUCCAUGGUCUACUCCGACCCGAGAUAGAAUUUCGGCAGCACCUCCCCGCUGUUCUCCAAAUACACAUUGUUCCAAUUCUCUCCACUCCACAGCUAUCGUACGNNNNNNNNNNNNNNNNNNNNNNNNNNNNNNNNNNNNNNNNNNNNNNNNNNNNNNNNNNNNNNNNNNNNNNNNNNNNNNNNNNNNNNNNNNNNNNNNNNNNCCUACACAUCCUGGGGCUGUCCAAAAAACGUGGACAAUUUGAAACAAAUACGGUUAUAAAUAUGCAAACAUCUGCAUAUUUCCAACCGUAUCUCUUUCGAACGGGAGACGCCUAACUAGGUUACGUGAUAUACAAACAUCAUACGGAAAGAGAGGUGUAGGAUGCCUCACCUUGCUAUCGUACAAGGUGACGACUCGAGGAUGGUAACGUAGCCUCUCCUGCAAAAAAAAGAACAUACAACUGUCAAGUUAAAUUUUCGACAGCACCUCCCCUGCACGUGGAGGUUUCCAUAACCUGCAUCAAAUAAAAAGGCACGAUGGCCGACAACCACAACUACAACAACGGAAUGGCACGAUGGCCGACUUCCACAUACAGUUCUUAUACCUUAGAUUGCCAAGUCAAACAUCAUUUUCUAAUUUCUAAAACAAAAGCCCUACCACCUCUCUAUCUUACCCUUCCAUAAUUACUAAUUACUUUUGUAAUUUCUAAUUUCUAUUUCAUCCUACCACCUCUCUACCCUUUUCUAAUUUCUAAUUCCANNNNNNNNNNNNNNNNNNNNNNNNNNNNNNNNNNNNNNNNNNNNNNNNNNNNNNNNNNNNNNNNNNNNNNNNNNNNNNNNNNNNNNNNNNNNNNNNNNNNNNNNNNNNNNNNNNNNNNNNNNNNNNNNNNNNNNNNNNNNNNNNNNNNNNNNNNNNNNNNNNNNNNNNNNNNNNNNNNNNNNNNNNNNNNNNNNNNNNNNNNNNNNNNNNNNNNNNNNNNNNNNNNNNNNNNNNNNNNNNNNNNNNNNNNNNNNNNNNNNNNNNGAGGGCGGCAGGCGGCGGGCGGGGGGGCCGGCGGGUGGGGCGCUGGGCGGCGACGACGGAGGGCGUCGGUGGCAGCAGAAAUUUGUUUUGGCGCCUGAGUGUUCGAGUCAAAAGGCCGCGGGACUUAAGUCAGAUUGUUUGCCAAGUGCCCGCGAUCUGGCACUCAGCAAAGCCAGAAGGUUUGCCGAGUGCUAGGUAUCGGGCACUCAGCAAAGUGAAGUUUUAAUUUUUUAAAAAAAAUUCAAUCGAAACACGCGCCUGUCAGGUGGAUUGCCGAGUGCUAGAUCGCGGGGACUCGGCAAAGUUAAGUUUUAAUUUUUUUUAAAAAAAUUUCAAUCAGAACACACGCCUGCUAGUGGACCCGUGUACCUACUUUGCCGAGUAUGUAGCGAAAACACAUGGCAAAACAUUACCUUUACCGAGUGUUUUCACUAGACACUCGGCAAAGUCUAUUGUACAGUUCUUCAAUAACGUGUUUUACUGACCUUUUCUAAUAUACUUGGAAAAAACCGUGUCAAAUUCACUCAGCAAUGGUUAUAUGAUUUUUCUACUGAUAUUAUUUCAUUAUUUCAUACAGUUAUAGCUCAAAUUGAAUUUAUAUCUUUUAAAAAUCUAUAAUUGCAUUUAAUCAAUAAAAAAUGUCAAACGGAUCCGAAAAAUUUCCAAAAUUUGACACUAACCAAUCUAUGUUGUAUGUUGCCUAUACAAAAAGCUUUGAAGUCAAACCCCAAUUCAAGUGUCACUUAGACUCCAAAUUUUAUUGGAUCCUUUCUAACUUCUACGAAUCCUUUCGGGAGAUGAGUCGGUUUGUAAGCAUCAUACGUCAGAAAUUGGGCGAAACCUUCUCAAUUUUUUACCACAGCCUCCACAUAUAAUAUCAUGAUAUCUUGACGAAUCUUGUGAUUUUCAGACUUCAAUUGCUUUUUUUAGAAUUUAACAACCAUUCAACCACACGUUCGUGGUCGUGUUUUCUAGAAAAAAUGUUCAAAAUUUCUUUUCAUUUCCUAGUUGAGACCUCAAUCCAGAUUCAAUAAUAUGAAUAUGAUUUUUUCACUGAUUUUAAUCCAUUAUUUCUAUCACUUGCAGUUAAAAUUUAACUUAAGUAAACAAAUUCCUAUUAAUGCCAUCAAUUCAUUAAAAAUAGCCACAGACCAAAAAGUAGACCAAUUUUUAAGAUGGAUUACCAAAUGUCGUAUGUGGGAAGUAGAAAAAGUGUGGAGGGCAGAGGUGGAAAAAAAAGUUUUGCCUUUGCCGAGUGCCUACAAAAACACUCGGCGAACUUCUUAGUUUACCGAGUGUCUGGACGGAGCACUCGGCAACCUACUUCUUUGCCGAGUGUCCGCGUCGGACACUCGGCAAAGUACUAACGGCCGGCACACUCCCAUAACGGACAGCGCACGUGCGAGCCACGUGCUGGAGAUUUACCGAGUGUCAAGUCGUUGCCGAGUGUCAUGUGGAUGUUUGCCGAGUGUCUUAUUUGCGACACUCGACAAAGCUGUUGUUUGCCGAGUGUAUUAUUUUUGCCGAGUGUUUGCUAGUAUACACUCGGCAAACGGUGUGUUUGCCGAGUGCCCGACAGAAAGCACUCGGCAAAGAUUUUACACUCGGCAACGUUCCUGUUUCCGGUAGUUACCCCACAAAACUCCAACAAUAUUUCAGGUACUGAUUUGGAAAUUCUAAGUUGAUAUCCAUGGACCGGAUCUCUUACUAGUCAAACGCCCAUCAGUACCCAAUAUUAUUUAAUCUCGUUGUUUGAGCACGUGCAGUGCAUCUGUCCAAUUAUAAACACAUGCACAAUUGAAUUUCACAGACACUGAAACAGAGUAAAAUUGCCAUGCCAAGUCUUCAUAAGCCUAUUUCAUACGGAAGCUCUUUUCCAUACGUGCCAGCAAGGCUGCCCAGCUCCUUCGACCAUUAUGGCUGCGCGCUUCAGCUGACAGGGGCGGCAUCCGUACCCUUGCCAUCUCACACCAGUGAAACACUCAUCUUUAAUUCCAGUUGGAUAGGGUCAUAGAUCCUGAAAAUCCAACCGGAAUUAUCUAUUCGGGAUAAAGAAGCUGUCUUUAGACCCCCUUUAAUCUCGGUUGGUAAAAACAACAACCAACCGGGACUAAAGGGGCCGCCAGCAUGCAUUAGCACGCGCCCCUUUAGUCCCGGUUGGUAUUCCCAACCGGGACUAAAGACUUUUUUCUUUUUAAUUUUUUUUUCAUAUUAAUGCUAAUUGUUGCUUCACAUAUAUAUACGUAUACAUCCUUAGCGUACACUACUUAAACGUAUAUGCACGUAUUAUAUGCAAGUCGUGUGUGUGUCUAUAUAUAUAUAUAUUUCAUGAUAGUACUAUAUAUAUGUAUAGAUACAAUUCUUAGUAUAUUAUACACAUCAAACUAUUAUUUAUACAAUUACUAUAUAUAUACAAUAAUUUGCCCUCUUCAUUCUUAGGAUCAUCCCAUUGUAGUGUUGCUCCGUUCGACUAGGAUCAUCCCGUUGUAGUGUUGCUCCGUUCGACUACUAAAUGUCCAUUGUAAUAAAAUUUUCCUUCGAAAUUUAUCACCUCGUCCACUAGAAAUCCUAUGAGACCUUAUUGGAUUGCCAAAAGCCUCUCCUUCUCCAAGAGUUUUUCUUUAAUCCGCAACAUCUGUAAUUUGAAAAUAUGUGAAUGUUACACGGACAAUUAAAUAUAAGGAGCUAGAAAAUAAUUAAUUAGUUAUAGUUUUAUUUUACAUACAUCUAUAUUGUCCGAUAUCACCUUAUCCCGCACAAAAUUGUUCAUGUGCUCAUAGACGUAGUAUCCACAUAAAUUAUUGCCUUGUUCCUGUCUCAAGCACUUUAGUAGAAAAAGUACAAGUUAUGAAAUAUUCGUGUUAUAGAAUGUACAAAAUGUGCAAACUUCCUACGUACCGGGAAUGUUGUAUUGAAUGUAAGUUUUUCUUUGCAUUCACUAUGAUGAGUCUUACGGAAUUAUUUCCAUGCACUGCGAAUUAAAAUAAUGAAUGGUAUAUGAAAAUUUACAAAAAAAAAAACUUUUGCAUAGAGAUAAAGGUCCAGAAUUAUUAAAAGUUUAGCAUAUCUUGAAUGUCUUUGUACUCCACCGGUGGUUUCCUCAAUGAAUCUAACACAAUAAUAUUGCUUUUAUCAAUCAUAAUUACAAGGAGAAUCCAGUGGAAACUGCGUACAUAAAUGUUCAUAUUAGAAUUAAGUAACAUUAAUUAGGUAAGGAAAACGAAAACGAAAAUAGACGGUACCCACACACUUAGUUGUAUGGCAGUAGUAUGUAUUGCUUGUAAUUUUGUGACUCCAAAAAAUUGUAUAUUGCAUUCAAUGUAGGCUUUGGUUGAUCCCGUAUCUAAUCUUGGUUUACGAGCGAUGGAUCCAUGAAGCCAACAUUGAAGUACGAUUUUUUACAGCACCUCAGAAUUAGCAUCUUGCAUAAAAUGGAAGACAAUGUUAGUAGGGCGAUGCACACACACAAAAUAAUGAUCUGAGCUAAAAUUUACAUCUUGAUAACCAGACACUUAUAGGACUUGAUGCUGAUGAGAGAGACGUCAAGAGCAUCCUGAUGAUACACUUGAUAUAUAUCCUUGAAUUGCAACCACAGGAGUUUCUCACACCUUCGCUAAAAAAAUCAAUCGGUUUAACACGAAGAGUGAACAUGAGCCUUUCCUUGGCCGACUGCUCCAUGUACCAUUGAUGGAAUUCAUACAUCUUCGUAGAGAGCUUCCAUACCAAUUCAGGCCUUAGAGGCUUGCCUACCUCAAAGGACCAUUUAGGUACAAUCUUUUCUGGAGCUGGCGGUUCAGCUUGCCCUAGAACAUCAGCAAACGAUAGACCUGUAUUUUUCAUAAACAUAAUGACUUGGAUUUGUUGUUCUAAGGGCAUUGCUGCUAUAACUUGAGCAUCUUUAUCUCCUUGCUCCCUGAGCUGGGGGACAGUACGACUGGAAGAUGACUCUCCUUAUUUUCUCUUCUGAUAAGACUGAGCUAAUGAAUGCUCAUAGUUCGAUAGUAAAAUCUUAUUUACUCCUUUUUUCAUGCCAAUAAAAAACUUUAAUUUCGCUAGAUCUACUGGCUUAGGCUCCAUCAUCUUUGCUUUUCUUUGUUUAGCGCAUGCUUGGAAGAACUCUCUCCCUGUGCUUGCGAUGCCUCCUGCAAUUCCUCAGUAUUCAUAUCGCCUAGUAGCUUCUGAAUGGGUUCAGACUUUUUAUUUUCUUAACAGGUUCUUUCACCUUUGGCUGCCUUGGCUUGGAAUGCGGUGGUCGUGACUUCUUGAGAGGUGCUGCAGGUUCCUUGCUCGCACCAGAGUUUAGUCAGGGAGGGGUGUUUUGGUCGUUGUCACUCGCACCACUAGGAUUCAAUAGAGAUGAAGAUGGUGAUCGAGCCUCAUGCGACGGUCCCGGUGGUGACAACGGUCCUGGAGGUGAAUGUGCUGGAGAUGAUGGUCUUGAGUUCUGAGGUGAUGGUAGCUGUGGGGAUCUAUGGGAAGCAAUGAUGCCUCCUUGCUGAGGAUAAUAACGUUUGUGCCAUAGAAUGAUACCGUGAAGUGCAUCCGCUAGUGUCCUUUUCCCGUCACCUCCUGGGAGGUCGAGCUCUAGGCCUUCAUAUUGACUAUCACAAAUCUGCUCUAGGCCAACGCUGGAGUAACCAGGUGGAAUUUCUGUGCAAUGGCUUGUCUGUCCUGGCAGGAUUAGUAAAACACUUCUGUACGCUACCUGUACAUAUAGGAGAAAUAAAGAAGUUAUUACAUGAAGCACAUUCAUGCCAUGUGCAGAAGUCUAUGGAGAGCCACCUCCGCUCCUCCAGUAUCAGAGAAUAGUGUAAGCAUAUUCAUGCCAUGUGCAGACAUUCUUCUCUGAUAUUGGAGGAGCAGAGGAACCAGCUCUUUAGAAUGUUCCUCUAAGUCUAUGGAGAGUCACCUCCGCUCCUCCAAUACUAGAGAAUAGUAUAAGCACAUUCAUGUCAUGUGCAGACACUGUUCUCUGGGAUUGGAGGAGCGGAGGUGGUACAUCCAUUGCCGGUCCAUCUGCAUCGUAUUACGUGAAAAAUGAACAUAGGAUUUCGUAUUAGAUAAAGAACUUGAUCAAUAUUAGAUAGGGGAAAAAUAGAGUAAAUAUGUUUAUAAUAUUUAGUCCUUACAAUAAACAUGAGAUAAAUAAAUUAUUAGUCAAAGAAAUAGAAUUAUUGUUAAAUUAGAGUGACAUCAAAAAAUUGUAGCAAUGACCAAAUUCUAUUUCUUACACCCUUAAUUUUAUUGCAUAACUAAAUAUUAAAAACGCAUUUACUCUAUUUUUUCCCAUACAUAAUAUGGAUCAAAUUCUUUACCUAAUACGAAUCAUAUAUAACAAGCAAGUUAUUCAUCAAAUUCUAGCUUAAAAAACAUAUAUAAAUAAAAAUCAUUUCCAUUCUCCCUCAUUCUAAAAAACUCAUUUUUCUCUAUCUCUAAAGUAAAACAAAGCAUAAUAAUAAUAAUAAUAAUAAUAAUAAUAAUAAUAAAUGAAGGGAGGAUGAAGUAGCUAACCUUUAAAAUACUUUGGAUGAGUGAAAUUCCCACGGAAAUGAGGAAAAAAAUCGAGCAGCACCUCCCUAAGGUUGCUUGCUCGCCAUGGAGGAGGAAGAAGGUUUGGUGAGUGGCUCGGGCUCGGGGAGGAAGAAGGUGAAUUUAUAGGUGAAUUUACAGGGAUAAAAGCUCCCACCAGUGGUCAGAUUUUUAGCCGUUACAACCGGGACUAAAGAAGGGGCUUUAGUCCCGUUUGGUCUUUCCAACCGGGACUAAAGCUCCCCCGUCGGUGGCCGUGGUGGGUCAUUUGACCCAAGAUUAAAGGCCCUUUAGUCCCGGGUCCAAAGUCAACUAGGACAAAAAAAAUAUUAGAUUGCAGGUG